rnacentral:lncRNA from 1 species
ACAGUUUGCAAAGAUCCAAAGUUCAUUUAUUCACAAAUCUUAAAUUUCCUUUUAUAUGCCUAUUAUUAUUCACUUGUUUACACUGAUCACCAACUUACAAUCAAAAUCAAAUCAUUCAACCUUCCAAAUGAUACAUCAUCCAUAAGAAUUCAAGCCUCGGUACCAUGUAGGUCAAGGAAUAUUGCGCCAUAGCACAAAUUAUCAGGCACCGGAAUGAGUAACUGCUGUGCUGUUCAUAUAACCAGCCCUGUCAUGGGUUUAUGGUGAAUAAGUAUGUAAAACAACCCGAGUUUUUGGCCAUUCAUAAAUCCUCUCCACUAAGAUCUCCCCAUCGAACAUUGUGCUUGGCAGCAAGAUAAUGUGCUCCAACUGGUCCUCGGCUACCAUAAGGAUAGAGCUCUAGAACAAUCUUCCAGUUCCUUCAGUAAUGGUGUAAACAACGCCCAGGCAGCAUCAAGCUCAUCACUCCGAAUAAACAACCUCCGUUCACCUUCUAUUGCAUCUAAGACCAGCCUCUCAUAUGCAUCUGGUAUUUCUGUUGGAUACCUUCACAUCAAAACUAAAGAAUUAAAGUAAUGCUCUCCAAAACCAGAAGAAGAACAAAAGAUAAUACAGAUGCACAUUUGCUCCAUCAAUUUGGCCAGGUCUGCAGAUGGAUGUUACUAAGGUAAAAUGGCCAGGACAUGAGAUUAAUACAGUCCCCUUACUUUUAAUAUUAAUUAGGAUUUUAUACAAAUUCUUUUAAAAUAAAACAUUAAAGAAUUCAAUCCUUACAUGAGCUAUAAAAUAAUUACGAAACAUGAAUAAAGACGUCCCAAGGCUUAUCGCUUGAGAAGAUUUUAUGAAAUUGAUGCUCACAGCCCCACUCCACAAUUGAGUAUUCUAGUUCAUAUAUUACAUAGUGAAGAUUGCAAGUAUCAUUUGUAGGUAACUGUCUAAAUAGUCCUUACCUUGAUCGAUAAAGCAAAUUAAGGUCGCUGCGAUCCAAUCUCAUUCCAAGACCAGGAACUUUGUUGUUGAUCUUCAGGUAUAUGGCUUCACCAGGCUGGAGCCGGAGCACAAGCUCAUUUGUAGCCUUGUCUAAGUCAGUUCCAAAAUUCCGCUUGUACAGUUUUCCAGGGACAUGUCUGAACUGAACUCUGAUCUCUGCACUGAAGUUUCAUUGACACAACAUUCUCAAGUCAACCAGUUAAGCAUAUUCUACAAUAUAUAGUGAAAGAAUAGAUCCUUAUGAAAAGGGAAGAAAUACUGCCUACCGUUUGGUAUGGAGCGCUUUGCCUGCUUUCAUCAGGAAAGGAACCCCAUCCCAUCUUGCAUUGUUGAUAAAAAGAGCAGCCGCGGCAAAUGUUGGCGUGAGACUACCCUUUGGCACAGUUGGGUCAUCAGUAUAUGCAGGAUAUGAUUUACUACCCUUGUUGUGGCCCUUGUAUUGACCAAUAAUUACAUUUUCAAGCAGAAGCAGUUGCAUUGAUCUAAGAACCUUCACCUGAAUGAAGCCACACACAACAAAGUUAAUGAUUAACUUAAAACAAUAGCAAGGAGUGUAGCAUUUCCAUAACCCACCAUGGGAUUUGAUUCUUCUUUGGUGGUGAUGGUGGUGUGUGGCUAUACCUUAAAAUAGGAUCUCUAGCAAUCAUAGAAAUGGUACACCAAGAAGAACAGGAGACCACAAUUCCGGUUCGUAAAAUUUGUAGAAGAAAGGAAGACCGAAUUACCUUUUCAUUUCUAAUGUCUUCCGCAUCUAAGCUGACGGGAGUCUCCAUUGCAAAUAAUGCCAGUAUUUACGAGAGAUGAUUUUGCAUUAUAUCUCGUAUGAUUCCAUAGUUAUCAAAAUAACUGGAAAAAUUUACCAAUAAAAUCAGCUGACCUGGGUGUCUGAAACAACUUCUAGUAUAAUAACAAUAUCUUCAGGCAACAUAUACAACUCACCCCCCUCGUCCCUCUGUACCAAAAUCUUCAGAAAAUAUAAAUUGUACAUUGCGGAUGUAAUUCCUGGACCAUAGAGGCUCGAAAACAAGAUUGGAGAAUCGAAGCACUAAUAGAUUCUCAACCAACUCCUUACCCAAGUAAUGGUCAAUCCUGAAAAGAUGUCAAUAGAGUCAAACAUCAUCACGCAUCUUUCUUUAAGGAAACAAAUGAGAGACAAACCUGAAUAUUUGAUCCUCUUUUAGAUACUGCUUCAAACUUCUAGUUAACUCGCCAUAAGACUCAGAGUCCCGACCAAAUGGUUUUUCAACAAUGACUCUUGUCCAACCAGUUGCUGAUGAAGCUCUAAGGCUAGCACAUUUCGCCACAUCCACAAAAAUGUUUGGAGGUAUUGAUAAGUAAAACAACCUGUUCGAUAGCUUUCCAGCCUAAAAUUCCAUUUUCUUACAUUGGGUUAAAAAAAUAAAACUAAAAUAAACAAACACCAAAUUUCACACAGGGAGCUAGUAACUAGCUUCCUAAAUAUGAAUCUAUUUUACAAUUAGUGAAACAAUAAGAAAUAUGUCAGUUACUUGGUCCAUUUGCGGAGCAGAACUCCUCACGAACCGAGUAAUAGUUUUUAUUUGGAUUCAAUACAUUUACCAGAGACUUACAUUUACUAACAAGAUUUUACCUACACCUUCUCUCUAUUACCCUCCUCCUAGAAUUAGGGAGUAUGGAAAACUUCACUGCAAUUAAAUAACCAUUUAAUAACCCAUGAUAUCAAAGGGGCACGGAAACAAAAUCCCACCAAUAGAUGGUUAAUGAAAUGUUCUGUUAGUUCAAGGAUCCUAUGGAAAGCUCCGAAAACCUCGGACGCGAAGGAAACCUCGGACGUGAAGGAAACCCUAUCUCCGGAGGUAUUUUUCCCCCGCCGUUUAGGGAGGCUAGAACGACUAAAAAAGCGAGGUUUCGCGAUGAGGAACAUGCUGGUGAUCCCACUGCCCAGGUAUCGUACAAAGAAACCCUAGUGAAUGCGACGCAAGUGAUGGAGCAAGGAGUUGGAGGUGGACUAGAUGACUGGGAUUUUGAGGAAGGGGACGUUACUGAAAGUAACGAGGGAUCCAUGCCAUCCAUUACUUUUUCGGCUAGGGUUCAUGCUAAGUUAAGUGAGCCUUGGAAGAACUCGGUUGUUGUAAAGUUGCUUGGCCGCACAAUUGGCUAUAGAGCCCUUUGUGCAAGAUUGAAUGACAUGUGGAAAUCAGCCAUGGGGUUUUCAGUGAUAGACUUAGAGAAUAACUAUUAUCUGGUUCGGUUUCGCUCGGUAGGGGAUGCUAUGGAUGCAUUAACCAAGGGGCCGUGGCUUGUCAUGGGUCACUAUUUAACGGUGCAGCCAUGGACGCCCUCCUUUGACUUCACAAACACGGCUCUUGAACAGGUCACGAUGUGGAUCAGAUUACCUGGCCUUGCUGUUCAUCUUUACGAUCGAAAAGUUCUUCAAAAGCUGGGUCAAUUAGUGGGGAACGUGAUUACAAUCGAUUCGAAUACAGCCUCUUCAUCUCGUGGAAGAUUUGCCCGCCUUGCAGUGAGUAUCUCUUUAACUAGGCCACUGGUGUCUCAGUUUGAGUUGGAUGGGAAGAUACAGAAGGUUGAAUAUGAGGGCUUGCCAGUAAUUUGUUAUAAGUGUGGACUUUACGGGCACAGUAGUAGUAAUUGCAAAGAUGCUAAGAACUCAACAAACUCUGAAGAAGCUGGUCAAUCCCAUCAGGCAAUGCCGGGAAACGAGGCUCCUGGCCAACAGGCUGAAGGUUGUAAUGGCGACAGCACUGUGGAACCAUUUGGUCCCUGGAUGAUGGCUCCUAGGAGAGGAAGAAAGCCUAAUAAUGGAAGGGUGAAUACUGGAGACUUAAAUCGGAAUAGGGAGUUUACUAGAGCUGGUACCUCAAGGUAUCACAUUCUAUCCCAAGUCCCGGAUGAAGGUGGACACCAAGUGCAGGAGGCUUGCACAGACUUCCCCUCCACCUCACGGCAGCCUUUCAUAUCCGCCUCAAACCCUACAUUUACAGCCAAAACAGAUAACACAGUACAUAUUUUAGCUCGUCGAAAGCUGCAAAAUAAGACCGUGGUAAUAAGGAAUCAGAGCAGAAAGCUAAAUGCUCCAGUGGUCCAUACUAGUAACCCUUUCCAGCCUAGUGAUUUAAGUAUCAGAGAUGAGGAUAUAACUCUCUUACCCCAUGCCAACCAAAAAUCCAAUUCACACAGUUUCCCCCAAAAAGUACCUAGCAACCAAUGUGUGGUUUCUUUCGAAUCCACCUUGGAUCCUACUAAACACACAGUGGUUUUUUGUUCUCCCCCAACACUCCUUAAUGGAGAUGUAAGGGAAGUGGCCACGGACCAUAUAGAGAGGCAGGGAUCGGAUCCGCAACCCUUAGCAGAUCCUCCUGAUAACCAUAACACUUCUCGGGUGAAGGAAGGUGGUCAUGUUUGUAACCAUCCAGAUGUUCCUAUGAGUGGUAUGGAUGGAGAUGGGAUGACUGAUGAUGAAAUUUCGAUGGUUCAGGAAACGCCGUUGGCAUUGAUGGAUGAUGUCUUUGGACAACAACAGUAGCCUCAUGUUUUCUCUUCUUAUAUUUUUUAUGACAGUCAGUAUUAUGUUCUGGAAUGUCCAAGGGGCAGCCUCGGGGGAAUUUAGGCGCUCGUUUAGGACUAUUAUUAAAAAUUACAACCCAUCGAUGGUGGUGUUAAUGGAACCUCGUACUAGUGGGGUGAAAGCCGAUGAAUUUAUAAAGAAAAAUGGAUUUGAUUACUCGCACCGGGUGGAAGCUGUGGGUUUCUCUGGAGGAAUUUGGCUACUUUGGCGAAGUUCUAUAGAGGUGGAGGUCUCAAUUAAUCACAGGCAGUUCAUCCAUUUUAAAAUUUGCAGGAACAAUGUUUUUGUGUCUUGGGUAACGACUGUCUAUGCCAGUCCAAACCCAAUGUUGCGGAGACAGCUGUGGUGCCAUAUGGAGAACCUUGCGCCUUUAAUUCAAGAGCCUUGGUUGAUAGGUGGGGAUUUCAACUCUAUCUUAUACGCCUCAGAAAAGCAAGGGGGUGUGGCCAGGAACUCAGGAGUGUGUAAUCUGUUUCGAAAGUGGUUUGAUGGGCAUCAACUUUUUGACUUGAAAUUUAAGGGUCCAAGGUUUACUUGGUCACGUGGAUUGCUUUUUAAAAGGCUUGAUAGAGCUUUGUGUAACAGUGAAUGGCUGCUUAAAUAUAUGAAUAAUUAUGUGCUCCAUCUCCCGAAGAUUGCCUCGGAUUACAGGCCGGUGCUGGUUCGGUUUGAGAGAGAUGUGGCUGGCCACCAGAGGACCAGGCCUUUCCGCUUCUUGGCUGCUUGGUUAACUCAUGAGCAUUUCAACAAUUUUGUUAAGCGGAUGUGGAAUCCGCAAACCUACUAUAGUGCAGCAGCUUCUCAUUUUGUUCAGGAGGUUCAAGUUUGGAAUCGAGAUGUGUUUGGGAAUAUCUUUCAGAGGAAACGCCGGCUUAUGGCUCGGAUUAAUGGAAUUCAAGCCACCCUAGAGAAAUAUAGCUCUCGUAGUUUGAGGCGAUUGGAGGCCCGAUUGCGUAAUUAGCUCGAAAUGGUGAUGAGCCAGGAGGAAAUUCUGUGGCUCCAGAAAUCUCGAAAGGAUUGGCUUUUACAUGGAGACAGAAAUACGAAUUUUUUCCAUAAAAAAACUAUUGCUCGAAGGCGGCGGAAUAGAAUCGAGGCUAUCCGAGACAGUUCGGGGAAUUGGCUGUAUGAUGAGGAAGAUAUAAAGAGGCAUGCAGUGGGGUAUUUUUCAGAAUUAUUUAAAAGAGAAAAUUCUAUUUAUCAGAACUACCAUGUGCCAAAUUUUUUUCCAGACUUGAGUUCUCAUGACGUUGAUGGUGCCGCAGCCCCAAUUUUGAGGGAGGAGAUUAAAAGUGCCGUUUUUAGUAUGAAGCCGCUGAAAGCUCCAGGUACGGAUGGGUUGCAUGCUAUUUUUUAUCAAUCCCAAUGGUAUGUUGUGGGUCCGUCGUUUUGCAGGUUUAUUGAUGAUAUUUUUACCACGGGCAAAGUGCCGCAAGAGAUAAAUACUACCCUCCUGGUUUUGAUUCCAAAAGAGGAGCACCCUACUAGCUUAAAGAUGUUUAGGCCCAUAAGCUUAUGCACAGUGGUUUACAAGACGGUGACUAAAAUUAUAGCCACUCGCUUGCAAUCGCUGCUGCCCAAUCUAAUAGGCCCCAAUUAGACAAGUUUUGUUCCAGGGAGACAUAUCGUAGAUAAUAUUGUUGUGGCUUAGGAAGUCGUUCACUCAAUGCGCAGAAAAACUGGCAGGAAAGGAUUUAUGGCCAUUAAGGUCGACUUAGAGAAGGCGUAUGACCGGCUUAAUUGGGAUUUCAUUUUUGAUACGCUUCAACAGACUGGUAUUCCAACUCAUUUAUCUAGACUUAUCAUGGAAUGCGUAACUUCAGCUAGUAUGAGUAUUUUGUGGAAUGGUGAGGUUACAAGGACCUUUACUCCAGGGAGAGGUAUUCGUCAGGGAGAUCCCCUCUCGCCUUAUCUUUUUGUUCUGUGUAUCGAGCGUUUGAGUCAUGGGAUAACCCAAGCGGUAAUGGAUGGGAGAUGGAGGCCUAUUAGGUUGGCCAAAUAUGGAACUCCCUUAACUCAUCUCUUUUUUGCAGAUGAUUUGCUUUUAUUUGUGGAAGCUUCAAUUGACCAAGCUUAUGUGGUUGAUGCUGUUCUGGAAAACUAUUGUAGGAGCUCUGAAGCAAAAAUAAAUAAGUUGAAAACCAAGGUGUUCUUCUCAAAAAAAUGUUGAUACUCGGGAUGCCAAUCUCAUAGGCUCUACUUUGGGUUUUUCGGCCACAAAUAAUUUGGGUGAUUAUCUUGGAAUGCCAUUAAUUCACACGCGGGUUAAUAAAUCCACGUAUCAGUCCAUCCUUGAUAAAGUGGAUAAGCGGCUUACUGGUUGGAAUGCGGCUCAUCUCUCUUUUGCUGGACGUGUCACCCUGGCUCAAUCAGUUCUGUAAGCAAUGCCUAUUUAUGCCAUGCAAACGACUUUUCUUCCUUCUCCAGUGAGGCAUAAAAUAGACAAAUCUUGUCGGCGAUUUAUUUGGGAUGGGAAUUCAAAGAGUCCUAAGAUGAGUAUGGUGGGGUGGAGCAAAAUCUGCAUGCCGAAACAAUAUGGAGGUCUGGGGUUCAAAAAAAUGGACGAGAUGAACCAGGUGCUGAUAAUGAAAUUGAGCUGGGAGAUUGUGUCCAACUCGGAUAAAUUGUGGGUGAAAGUUUUCUGUUCCAAAUAUGGAUUAAAUUCCAGCAAUUUACCGAUGUCCCUUCCAGAUAAACCGGGUUCUCAGAUUUGGAGAGCUAUUCGUAGCACGUGGUUAACAACAGUUCAGGGUGCUCGCUGGUCUGUUUGUGAUGGAAGUCGAGCUCGCUUUUGGAUAGAUUGUUGGGCUACGAAAUAUCUCUUGAUCAGCCUAGCUCUCCAGCCGAUUCCUCAAGAGCUUAUCAACACCACCGUGAGUGAGUUUACGAAUGGUCAGGGGGGAUGGAAUUGGUCGAGCUUUGAGCAUUUGCUGCCACAUUAUACUCUCAUGCAGAUCGCAUCAGUCAUGCCUCCGGGACUGCAUUUUGGGUCUGACAAAAUUUACUGGGGUCUGGAUCCGAGCGGCAUGUUUACGGUUCGUUCAGCUUAUGCAUCCCUUUGCUAUCAUCACUUGGCUGAUCAUGACAGAAUUUGGAAGCUUCCAUGGAGUUGGAAGGGGCCUCAAUCCAUCCGUCUUUUUCUGUGGCAGCUGAUGCAUGGGAAAUUAAAGACUCAUGUUGAGCUAGCUAGGCGCCAUAUCAAUGUUCCUGAGGGCUGUGAUAGAUGUGGGGGUGCGGUUGAAGAUAUUCUCCAUGCAUUGAGAGAUUGCUGCUGUAUUAAUCAGGUUUGGCGUAAGCUUGUCCCAAUGGCAACUCAUAACGCUUUCUUCAAUUCGAAUCUACGUGAAUGGAUUGCUGGGAACUUGCAGAACAAAUGAAAGAUUGCAUCUUCCCUCCCUUGGGAUUGUAUCUUUGGAGUGGUGGUUUGGAGGCUGUGGUUCUGGAGGAACCACUUCUCUUUUGCGGGGAAGUUGGUGGAUGGUGUAACAGUCUAUAUGGAUGCUAUGGCUAGAGCUAAUGAAAUUUACAAAGUUUAGAAUUCCGGUAUAAGUCAACAGCCGAGGAGAAAGGAGAUUUUUAUUCGUUGGAUGCCGCCGCCAUGGCCAUGGUGCAAAUUAAAUUCAGAUGGCUCUCGUAAAAAUGACGGGGAAGCAGGAGCAGGAGGUGUCAUUUGAGACUCAGUCGGUCAUUGGAUUUCCGAAUUUUGUAUGAGAAUUGGGGAGAGUUCAGUGCUUAUGGCUGAGCUUUGGAGGCUGUACCAGGGUCUAAUUCUGGCUUGGGAUGUAGGCAUAAAACGGCUGUUGGUGGAAGUGGAUAGUCUUUGUGUUACACAAAUAAUCUCUAAGCAGGUGGUCGUUCCUAAUGUGUUCCAUGCUUUAAUAGUAGCUGUCCAGGAAUUAUUAAGUAGAAAUUGGCAGAUUGCUAUCACCCAUAUCUAUCGAGAAGCUAACUCAGCUGCGGACUUCAUGGCUAAUAUGGCUCAUUCAGCUCCUCUUGGAUUGCAAGUGUUCUCUGACCCUCCUAUGGGUAUAUAUUCUAUCAUUUCGCAAGACUUGUUUGGGGUUACUCAACCCCGUUUUGUUUCUGUUUAGCUCGUUUUGACGAGCCCCCUCUCACCAAAAAAAAAAAAAUAACCAUUUAAUACCCCAUGAUAUCAAAGGGGCACGGAAACAAAAUCCCACCAAUAGAUGGUUAAUGAAAUGUUCCGUUAGUUCAAGGAUUCAAUGGCUCCACUGCUACCAAAAAUUGCGGGUGAAGUAAUUCAUGAAGGGAAAACUCUAAAUAAAGGGACUUUUAAUUUUAAUGAAGGAAAUGAGGAUUUAUUCAACUACACCAUUAAUCUGUGAGUUGAAUUAAGAGCAUUUUAUUAUACUUUAUUGUUAGAAAUUAAUAUUAAAGCCCUUUAAUCUGAUUCAUGCGUCAGAGGUUUCUUGCUGGCAAUAAUGCCAGGCCCCCGACAAUUUCUCCAUUACAAAACGAGAUCAGAGUCAUCAAUGGAUAGACGGCAAUUAACAUCGAUUAGCAGAGUACCAGUUUCCCACAAAUAUAAAUCUGCUUGUUGAAGCCAAAAUUUGAUAUCAACAUCUCUUGCCUUCCUUGUAAUAUUUUAUUGUAUCUCAAGGCUUAAGUAUCCGUUCACAAGGCUAAAAGAAAAAGAAAGUGAAGACGAUCCUGAAUUGCUUUGAUUCAUCAUGUUUCGUGGCUCUGAUACCAUAUUAGAAUUCGUAAUGAGAUGUUUGGAAACAAAGAAAAACAGAGAAAAUAAAAAGGAAACUUCUAGAUUUUAUUAACCAGAAUAUUCAAUACUAAUUAAGCUUACUUAGCUAAGCUUAUAUACAAUUAUUCUAACUAAUUAAACAACUUCAAACCAACUAAUAACAACUUCAGAUUUAGUUUAGCCAUUGAGCUCUUGCCACAUGUCAUUAAGUUACAUUCAAUUUUGACACAUCAGUCAGCUCUGUCCAGCAGCAACUAUAUCUUCAACAAGAAUCUAUGACUCCAAAGUUCCUAUAAAACUAUAAAUUUCUUAAAGGUAAAGAAGUAAUUAGUUACCUCUUUCUCUUUCAGUCUGCCGUCUAAUUCUGCAAAAUGCUCAUCAGAGCUGUACAGACCGGAAUGGUAAAAGCAUCUCUUCAAGAACUGAUCCAUUUUGUCUUCACAAUUUUCCCUGUAAGUUCCCUCAACUAUUACUAUAUACAAAACUCAGUGCAUAGUCUGCUAAAAAGUACAUGUGAGGGUUUCAGAAAAUUACAUACUUCUUAUCAAUUCUACAAGUUAAAGUUUUGCUAAUCACGUUCCUCAGCUCCUCAUCAGUCAAUUUAGUCCGAGCAUAACCAAACACUGUAAAAUCCUGCAUAAGGAUGAUAAAUGGAAGAAAAAAUGAAAACUUAUCAGCUAUUGAGCAUUCAUCACGGUUGUUGAAAAAGUGAAAUUAGUGAAGCAACAAAGCAUAGAACCUCAGGCAGACAAUCUUCAUAGUAUAGUGCGAAAAGUGCGGGAAAAAUCUUCUUCUUUACGAGGUCCCCUGAGGCUCCAACAACUGUUAUGCUGAGUGUAGAACCCGAUUUUUCAGAUGAUGCCGGAACGGAGGCCUCUGUCUCUUGAGGCUCGAAAUGAUCGUUUGGCCAGAGGUUUUCCAGCUAAAUCUAAACUCAAAAUUGCAGCUAGAAAUCAGCAAUGAGAAACAAAACUGAUAUGCUGAAGACAAAAUAUAAUCAUUGCAAAUAAUUAUGAUUAUAUCAAUGAGUGGACAAGUUGAUAAACUCUCUUUCCAAAAAGAAAUUUUCUUCAUAUGCAAAUUCAUUUGGCAAUUGUCGAAAACAGGAAAAAUCUUUUUUUUUGUUAAAUAAGAAAUUCAUUUUGGACACAGUUUAUGAAUAAGCAAUUGAAUGAGAAUUAAAACCCAUUUGAUACUGAUUCGGCGUAAAAGACUACAAUAGAGGAACCAGUAUCUCACUAUCUUGUAAAGAAACAGUAUUGAGAGGAUGCCCAUUAGAGGAUUUAAGCUGAAAAUGCUUUCUAGCAUGGAUUCUUGACUGAACUUGAGAUACCCAAGUGGAGAAAAAAUAUUUUCUUGGGACAACAAUGAAGUCACUGAAGAGUUGUGUCUUGUAAUGCUUCAAUGAAGAAGAACAAGAACUCAAAUGUGAAGUAGCCAUGCUCAGUUAGGGAUCAAGAGGAGGGGAGAAGUUAGGAUUGAACAAACGUGUGCAUAUGGAUUACGUUUAUGGUUUGUGUUAUAAAGAUUGUAUCUAUAAAAUAAAUUUACAAAUGCAAGUGCCCUUUUCCAUUUAUGAAGGGACCAAUGUCGUUGAAGUAACUUUUCAUAUACUAAACAAAUCUGUCAUAUGAGGUCAAUAGUUUUUCGUUUUUCUUUAUUCUUUUCUAAUUUAUAAAUUUUAAGUUUACAAGUCAACCAAGCAGAACAAAAUGUUUAUGAAACAUGCAUAGACAAUACAAACUUGAAUUAAGAGUUAAAAUACUUUUCUAAAAGUUCUAUAAAUACAACUAACUUGUACUAGAUAUUGAAUGGUUCUUAUCUAAAUUGAAGAAAGUUUUAACUUACGAAUGUGUUUAUUUGGUGGGGGUUCUCAUACCUUAAUAAAGUAUGAAAAAAUUGUUAUGCUAUAUUGCAAUAAUGGCAGCGCUUAUGUUACAUUUAAGGCAAGUAACAGACCGAUAAAAUGGAUCGUUCAAUUCGUCAAUUUUCAGAUCGAACGACUGUUAAGGAAUUUAACACAAAAUAAGGUACUGGUAGAGGUGGUAAAAUAAUUAUUAUAACAAAGGAUGUGCAACCUGUCAAAACGGUUCAGGGAAUAAGGCAGUUAAGGGGUUAUUCGGUAAUGAAAUUCAUAGAGGGAAAAGAAGAGUUAUGCACGGGUAGUCUGUGUAUGCGUAAAAUUCAAGAGGGUAUGCAGUACAAUAAUUAGGUUUUCAAAAGAGGGGGAAAAUAAGAGUACCACCAAAUGAAAUUGUGAAUAUCCUUGUUCAAUUUUGUAGAUUCACAAAUUGGCGAAACCAAAAGAAUUGCUGCACCCCAAAACCGAAGGUAGAGGCGCCUGAAAGUCACUAAAAAUGCUAAAAUUCGAAACCUCAUCUUGUGAAAUUGUCUUCACCAAUUAAUUUCCCACACAUCAUUAAUUGUUAUGGGUGAUUCUUUUUUAUUUUAACACCUUUAUUUGGAAAAGUAGCAGAAUCGAUCCUGUCGAAAGCCAAAGUGAAGAGCGCGCUUAGGAAUGGGAAUAUGAAUUAUGAAAGGAUUAAAUUGGUCUGUUUCUUUCUGUGAAAAGGGAAAAAGAGUUGUAGAUGGAAAGAAAUGACAGGGCAGAGAGAAGUAGGUUUCUGUGAAAAUUGCGUCAAUGUAUUAACAGGUGAACCGGAUUUAAACCAGAUCAUUCAUCGUGAAGAGAAGAAAGCGGGAGGCUGAAAACAGUGCAGACAAUAACAAAAAGGAGACAAUUAAUUACAGUUUUAGUUCAUACUUGUAAGUAUUAUUCUGGUAUUUGCUCCAAACAAUAUAUUGGAGGUUAUUGUUAAUUGAUAUGAAGCCAGUGCUUACAUUUGUAUUUAAGUGUUAGGUUAAUGGAUAUAUGAGAACAGGUAUCAGAUUAUAAAUUUGUAUUGUAAUUGGGAAAUUUAAUUGAUGGGUACAACUGAUAUUUGGAAUCUAGUCAUUUAAGGUUGAACAAAGUGCACGUGUCAAGAUGUUCGAGAAGAAGUACCUUGCUUAGGGCAGGAGGUCGAACUAGAAGGGUCAUGGCCGUAGAAAGUAGGCACAUUAUAUUAUUUAUAAUUCUGUCAACUAAGCUGUUGCAAUGGGAAAAAGAGUGAUGAAACAUUUGCAAAUGCUUGUACGAGUUUAUCUUAAUUCAACAUUAUUGAAUUUUGGUUUCUUAUGCUGAUAUGUUAUAUGUUCAGCUAAUUAGACUAUUCAUAUAUUGUGAAUUCCAGUGAAUAAGUCAAGGAUGAUAAAGUUACAGUAGUUCGACCAUGUUUAUAGCUUGAUAAAUCGGCAACACGAUCAACAUCACUUAUGAUACGUACAUAACGACCAUCCUUUAGAGUUUCCUUAUAUUGGUCUGAAGCAAUUGAAAGCCAUAGAAAUUGAGCUGAAUAUAGUGAUACAUACAUAAAUUUAUUAACAUAAAAAAUUUAACAUAUAUAUUCCUUUUAUGACAACAAUCAUCUACCCAAAAUAAGAGAUCAUAUUAAAUCAACAUAUUUCAGUUGUUCCAUAAAGAGAUAUACCUAUAUAAAACUUGAUAGGCGUGGUGACAAUAGAGGAUACAAAUAAAAUAACAAUUAAACAAGUGUGAAAAUAUCAUGGGUCUUCGUAUGAUACCCCAGCAAGACAAUCUGAGGUCCAUCUAAAAACUUCGAAGCAUUAUGCUUCAUUUCAAUCUUUCCUUGCUGUAUGAAUAACGACCACCUUAUACCCGUCAAAGAAUGUUCAUCAUCGCCUUACAACUGGGUAUGCUUUCCAGCAACUGUUGCCAUUUUAUUGUUUAUAUUCACCUCAAUGGUUCGCUCUCAUGUGCACAGGAUUGAUUGAACCUGGAAAUAUAAAAAAACAAAUGGAACAACUCAUUCUUCUUAGUUCAAAAAGCACUAGUAGCUUGAUAAGAUACCUUUCUUUUACCUGGUUCAUUGUUUUUAGUUCCAGCAGAUUACUUUCUUCUCAAGCGUCCCAAAUCCAUUUGUCUAGCUUAAAUUUUAAAUGCAAUUCCUGCAGAUUCUUUUGUGUGUUUUCCAUUUAUAGUAGUCUUUUCCAUUUAUAAAACCUGAGGACAGUUGUUCAAGUAUAUUAAACAUAAGGACAAAAUUAAAAACACAUACUCCUUCGUCCAUGAAUUGUAACAUAAUCAUGCUUUAUGAUGACAGUAUCCGUUAUAUAUAAUCCUAACUAUAUGUUCAUGCCAUAAAAACAGAACGUUCUGUUAAGUCAUUCUCUAAAGACUUUGAAACUUAAAGCACCUGCUCAGCUAUUCAUUCCACUUAUAAUAUUCUCACUUCAUCGAUAACAAAUCAUACUAUGUUAAUAAUGAAAUUACAUGAAAAUAGUUGAACUUUGAAACAUGAAUUUGUAAACCGAUUAACAUGUUUAAAAUUAGCCAACUAGUAUUUGCUUACGCCAUUCAGACAUUUCAUCAAACACUUGAUGCAUAUGGCCUAUUUAAGAAUUUGAAGCAAGAUAAAACUAUGAGGAUACUAAUCGAUAAACCAAUCAAUGAUAUUACAAACAUUUCAUCACUCCCAAAAAAAAAAAAAUUAUAAGUUGAAUAACGAAAAAAAUUAUGAAAUUUACGAAACCCUCCCUCACCUCUGAAACUGCAGCUCCACAUCAUUUCUCUAUGUAGUAGUAACAGACAACUCUGAAAGAAUUUGUUUAUUUUUUUUCCCUUUUUCUCAGCCUUGGUUCAAUAAUUUUCAUAAUAAAAUUGUAUGAAUAGUGGCAUAUGACGUUUCAGAGAGGAGCUGUUGCUUCCUUCAAAAACUGGUUAAUGAGAUUUUGGCUUAUGAACUUUUUAAAACCCACUUAAAAAUUUUUCAAUUUCAAUUUUUCUUUUUCUUUUCAAAAUUUUCAUUAAUACCUGCCUAAUCAUCAACCAGCUAUUAUGAGGAAUGCAUAGGAUUGGGUUUACCGUUGACACAUCUUGCAACUGGUUGCCAACCCGUUUCAACAUUUUGUUCUACUGUGCCUUACCGCCACGUGCUGCUCUUACGUGAGUCAAAUGGUCACGUCACAACUAUUACUUACACCAAAUGUAACGUAAACUUACCCAUCAAUGAUAUAUUAUAUGGGGGAAACCUUAGGUGCAACUGUGGUACCGUGCCACAGUUGCAUCCAGCCGUUGUAUUAUAUGACAUGAUAGUUUUCUUUGACACUUUAAUAAAGUGCCAGAAUUUUCAUUGUCAAAUUAUAGUAACUUCCUCUAUUUUAUAACACUAUAUAAAUAAAUGUCGCUUGUUAUUAUAAAAUUUUCAAUUAUUUUUAACUUCCCUCUUGUAUCAAUAAAUAGCUUGUUUGGUAUUAAGAUAAAAAGUUGUGACUACGAAGUAAAAAUUAUUAGUGUGUUGUAAAUAUAAUUUUUGAAUAAAAAUUUUGACAAAAAUAAUAAAGAUAUUAUAUAUUUUUUAUCAUACAAGUGUUGGAAUAAAUCAACACAAUUUUCAAACUAUAGUAAUAAAUAUUUCCCCAAGACUUUAGUGUUAUAAAUAAAAAGUUACAACUAUCCAACCGGACUAUUAAAUACUAAAUAAAAUCUAAGAUUGAGUCAAAACAUAAUGAAUCAAAACCUAUUCACCAAGAAAAAAGAAACUCCACUUGUGUCCAUAUACAAAUUUAUAGAUAAUUAUAUGUAAUUUUUUUAGAAUACUAUUUACACAAUAAAUAUAUAUAACGUGGGCUACCUCCUUUACAACGUGCUUUUUUUUUAUUAGAGGGGGCUCGUCAAAACGAGCUAAACAAGAACAAAGCGGGGUUGAGUAACCCCAAACAUAUCUUGCAAAAUGAUAGAAUAAAUUCCCACAGGAGGGUUAGAAAACACAUGCAAUCCAAGAGGAAGUGAAUGAGCAAUAUUAGCCAUGAAGUCCGCAGCUAAGUUUGCUUCACGAUAGAUGUGAGUGAUAGCAGUAUGCUAGUUUCUACUUAAUAAUUCCCGAACAGCAACAACUAAAGCAUAGAACACGUUAAGAACGACCACCUGCUUAGAGAUCAUUUAGGUAACACAAAGACUGUCCACUUCCACCAACAGUUGUUUUAUGCCUGCAUCCCAAGCAAGAAUUAAGCCCUGAUACAGCCCCCAAAGCUCAGCCAUAAGCACUGAACUCUCCUCAAUUCUCAUACUAAAUCUGGAAAUCCAAUGGCCGACAGAAUCUCUAAUAACGCCACCUGCUCCUGUCUCUCAUGCAUUUUUACAAGAACCAUCUGUAUUUAAUUUGCACCAUGGCCAAGGCGGCAGCAACCAGCGAAUAAGAAUCUCCUUUUUCCUCGGUUGUUGGCUUAUGGAAGAGUUAUUAACUCUAUGAAUUUCAUUAGUUCUGGCCAUAAUAUCCAGAUAGACUGUUAAGCUGUCCACCAACUUUCCAGCAACGGAGAAUUGGUUCCUCCAGAAACCUCCAAACUGUGACGCCAAAGAUACAAUCCCAAGGGACGGGAGAUGCAAUCUUCCACUUAUUUUGUAGGUGUCCACAGCCCAGUCACGUAAAUUCGAGUUAAAGAAAGUGCUAUGAUUGUCCAUUGGAACAAGCCUACUCCAAGCCUGCUUAAUACAGCUGCAAUCUCUCAAUGCAUGGAGGAUAUCUUCAACCGCACCCCCACACCUAUCACAACCCACAUGAACGAGAAUAUGACACCUAGCAAGCUCAUCGUGAGUCUUAAGUUUCCCAUGCAAAAGCUGCCAAAGAGGCGGAUGGAUUGAGGCCCCUUCCAAGUCCAUGGUAAGUUCCAAGUUAUGUCAUGUUAAGCAAAGUGAUGAUAGCAAAGAGAUUCAUAAGCUGACCGAACCGUAAACAAGCCUCUAGGAUCAAAACCCCAGAAAAUUGAAAUUGAGGAAACGUGUUAGGUCGUUUGGGUUUUCUUGUCGCUGACUUUUUAAUUAUUGAAUUAUCUCUAGGACUUUGGGCUAGCCAUUUUAAAGUGAAUUAACUUUGCCGGGCUUUGACAGAUGAGUGGAUUUCUAUUUAGAGCAUCUCCAAAAGUCUCUAUAAAUUUUACUCUUCAAAUAUUUAUUUGCUUACCUAUGUGGCAAAUAGAAAGGUGAAAAAAUAUGAUAUUCUCCAAAAGACUCUUUAAAUAGAAAUAAAUUAAUAUUAUUUUAAUCAAAUAAUUAAUUUUUUAAAGGAAAAGUCAAUAGCAAUUAAAGCAUUUCUCUCUCUUUCUCCAAUGAAAAGUAAUGAAAUAUGAAUUGAAGAGAGAGAAAUCAACUCUCCAAAUUUGAAGAGAGAGAAUCAUUUCUUAAUUGAAGAAUUUUAAUUGGAGUGUCUUUUGGAGCUUUAAAUAUUGAUGUGGCUUUUCAAAUAAGUAAUAAAAUCUUAUUUGAAAAGCCUUUUGGAGAUGCUCUUAGAGUUGGCCUUUUGACAUCCCCGUAAAUUUCUCGUAGAACUCUUCUUUAAAUGGAAUUUCCGAAAUAACUAAAAAUAAAUUAAUUCUUUUUUAUUUUGAAUGAAAAUCCAAUUAAAACUCAUAAAUAAAUUAUUAUUUUUAAUAAUUUUUCACACCCACUACAUUUCAUUAUUUAUAUUUUAAAUUUUAAUUGAAUUUUUUGAGAAACUUUUAAGAAUUUAAAAUUUGUGAAGUAGAAUUUAUGUAACAAGAUAAGAAUAAUUUAAGAUUUUAGAACUUUUAUGCAUUUACAUAUUAGAAAUUAAAAAAAUAUUAGUUUUAGGAUGAAAUUUAUUAACAAAAUGAUUGAUUUUAAUUUAUAAUUUAGUAUUUUAUAAAUUAAGUUGGAGUAUUUUUGGGGAAUAAAAUUUAGAAAGGAGUGUCAUAAAGAUUUUGGGGGUGUUAGAAGCUCCACUCGCAUGGUUAUUGGUCUAAAUCAGGUUUUGGGCUGCUUUGUGUGCCCCGGCCUACUUGGACAGUGCAAUACAAAGAUUGGAUUUGUAUUUUGUAAGAGUUGCAUUUGCAUGAAUUUCAAUUUUGGUUGCCAUUUUUCUUAGUUUCUGUAACAACUAAUAAAAUUAAGGGAAAUUAUCAUUUGUAUACCUUUAGUUUACUCCAUUAUCAAAAAUACUACAACACUUUGAGGGUGUAUCAAUCGUCCACCUUAAGUUGACAAAAUGUAUCAGCUGACCACCAAACCGUUAGUUGCCGUUUAAGUAUGAUGACGUCAGAAGGGUAAUUUGGUCUUUUCAUAUGAUACAAGUGAUAAUUUAAGGGUAUACAAGUGAUAAAAAGAGAAUUUAAGGGCAUACAAGUGAUAAUUUUUAAGGGUAAAAUCGUCAAUUCACUGUAACUCCGUUAACUUUCAAACGGCAACUAACGGUUUGGUGGUCGAUUGAUACAUUUUGUCAACUAAGGGUGGACGACUGAUACACCGUCAAAGUGUUGUAAUAUUUUUUAUAACAGAGCAAAUAUAGGGUAUAUGAAUGAUAAUUUCCCUAAAAUUAAAAGAUAAAAUUGUGGUCAGAUGAAGAAUUGCUCUGUCAAAUUGUCAUUUCCAAAUAAAUAAAAUGAAAAUGAUUACAUAUUAACAUGUGACAAAUGUUAAGCUUAGUUGAAGAAGAAUCAGUUGGUGGGUUGUUUUCUAUAUUGAUUGAUAAUUACCUUCGUAUUUUAAUCAGUUGCUGGUGGAACUUCGUUGUCCAUUCUUAUUAAAAGCUUUUAAAAACUCAGUCCAAUUUUCUAACUAUUGCUUUCCCAACGAAAUGUCCAGAUCCUAGACCCAAUUUCACUUGACUCAAAGCUAUUGUCUUUUGCCUUUCUAAAUCAAGUUUUAGUUAAGGGCAAGGUAGUAUCUCAGUUUAAUUUUUUUUUUUUCUCAAAUUUAUGCAUAAAUUAGGUGGAAUAAUUUUAUAUUCUAUUAUUAACUCAUUUAAUGGAUGGUUGUUAAACAAGUCGUUAUAGUAUUAAUUGGGUUCGAUAUAGUGAAUCCAUUGAGGCCUUAGUGCCCAAUUUUGACACAGCAGAAUUUGUUCAACAACGGCUACUGCAGUACAGCAGAAUUUGUUUUGAAGGAAAGCUGAAUGUUGCGGACCGCCCAAUUCGUUAGCCCAAUUGCCCCAAUUUCGGGCUAGAGAGCCAACACAAGGCCAAGAGUGCUAGCUUGGCCCAAUUCCGGAAGGUUCUAGGCAACUCUAGCACAUGUGAACAUGUAAAUAUUCUAGAAUACUUUAUACAAUUCCAGCACAUGCAAAUAGCUAGGAAAUUGUAAAAUACUCUAGAGUUUGACCAAGUUUGUCAAAGUUAGGUAAAGUUAGGCAAAGUUAGGCAAAGUUAGGCAAAGCCUCCCCUAUAAAUAUGGGAUGGCAUUAAGCAUUUGUAUCCAACAAGCAUUGUAAUCUCUCUUUGUGCAAUACAAGUUUCUUUGGCUCAAUUGCUCUCUUCUCUUGUUCGAGAAUCUCUAGGCUUACUUAGCAACAUUCGGCAAAGUUGUCUAAGUGCCGCACGGGUUAGCUGCGCAAAACACUCAUCCCGUGACAUGAAGCUGUUAUAGAAGCUUUUCAAAGAGUAAGGCUCACAGGACAAACACACAUUGACAAAAAGGCUACUGGAGUUAAGGAGAAAUGGCAUCCUCCGCCAGGUAACGUUAGUAAGAUAAAUGUGGAUGCAGCAAUUGACAAGCAAAAUCAGCAAACAGGACUGGGAGUAGUCAUUUGAGAUUCCAACGGCAAGAGAAUGGCAGCAGCGGUCAAAACAUCAAAACAGUGGAAGGAUGUGGCUUAUACUGAUGCUGAAUCUAUGGAAUAGGGGCUUGAGGUAGCAAAGGAAGCUGCUAUGUCUUGCCUGAUAAUGGAGAUGGAUUGCCAAGAAGUUGCUGAUUUAGUUAACUAAGAAGAAAGGGAGUAAGACUGAGAUAUUUUGGGUAAUUUCUGAAAUCCAAAAAUAGAGCAAGUGGUUCCAAGAAGUCAAAGUUCAACACGUUCCAAGGGCAUGUAAUGUCCAAUGUAACUGACCUAUGGCUGGACCCCAUACCAGCAAACAUAGCUAUGUUUUGUCUUGUCAGUUGAAUGAGAAGAUCUUCACGUACAUGUGCUUCACGAAUGGCAAGACUAACAAUGAGAGAAGGGAACAUGUGCUUCACGAAUGGCAAGUGAAUGGACAUGAAAAACAUAUCUCGAAUUAUGUUUUUUUCCAAUUCGAAAAACAGACUUUUCGACUCGAACAGCUGUGAUUGGAUAUGCAAGUGGGCCACAUCUUCAACACGAGAAAGUAUGAAUAGCUCGCAAGGACUUUUCGACUGCAACAGAAAACUAAUGGGAGGAAGAGGAGAUGCAGGCAAUGAAUGUAAUUAGCGUUUUUUUUUUUCAAAAGAGUUAAGUUACGUGGUGUAGAAUCCAGACUCAAACAUGUGCUUCAAUAAAUCUCUUACUACGCUAUCCUAUUAAUUUUUAUGAGUUUUUAAAUUUUGUCUAAUUAAGAUCUUCUAUUUGUAAUUGUAAUUUUGUAUCUGAGAGGUGGUGGAAUAGGUGCAUAAUUGUUGUGACUUGUGACUGGGAGAAUGCACCUCUGGAGGAUCUGCCACUGGUUCAAAGAUAUUAGAUGUUGAAUAUAAUUAUGUGCAAUUUGAAGAGAAAUAUUUUUCGCUGAGAGCAUUUUUUAGUGCAAGGAAUCAUUAAAACAAGGCGCUGGAUUUAAAUUUAUCUAAAAACAGUUUUUUUCGUAAAAUUCUAAUCGUUAGUUCAAAAUUAAGAUUAAAUAAAUAAAUAAUGUUUCUUUUUUAAUUUUUGUUAGCUUACUAGUAUCCAAAUUAAAUUCUAUAUAUAUAUAUAUAAAGCAUGUGAUUGUAAUACAGACUUAUUUUUACAGUCAAUGCAUUUUAAACCAUGUGAGCAUUCAAAAAAUUUUCGGAAAUAUAUAUAUUGAUAGUUUUCUUUAUAAUUUUGUGUGAAUCAUUUGAUACUCGAUAUGAAUACACAAUUCGCUGACUUUAUAUUAUCUUUAUUUUUUUAUCAAUUGUUAUCUUUAAAACGUAGUUCAAAGAAAUCAACACAAAUAAAUUUACAAUUGUUUAAGGAUAUUACGCAGUAAAAAAUUAUACUAGACAAUAAUUUAAGCUAAACAUAUAUCCUUAUUUUUAGAUGUUCUAUAUAUUAAACGUAUUCAAGAGUUUUUUAGCUAAAACCAAUUUUCAAGUAUUAUACAUCAAAUGUACAUUGAAAUACUAGAAAUACCAAAAAUACAAUUCUAUUUUAAAAUAUAUUUCAAUUUUUAAAAAACUGUUUUCAAAUCCUGACUAAUUUUAAAAACGAAUUACUUAUUACACAAGUCUUCUGCCCGUUUGUUCACGUACGUCUUGUUGAUCUCAAAAAGCCAAUUAUAUCGUAAUAAAAAAAAAAAAGCCAAUUAUAUUUUCGGGGACGGCCACACCGUGGAACCUGACUUGCACCGGCAAGUCAUUAAGUCCACAAACGACUUUGACUUGGUGCGCUUUUCCUGAUACCACAUACCCAUACAUCCUACUGGAUAAAACUUCUCAAUUUGCACAAAUCAAUGGACUAGGAGAAAUUAAAAAUACCAAGAAUUAUUUUUACAAAACCUGCAGGUUGCCUAUAUAAAGGCAACGCUGUUUUACUACCAUGCAUGCAUGUCAUAAAAAGCAAAAUAACUUAAAGCCAUUUUAGAAUUCCUGUUGAGAAGUAAUGGGGUUAUGUUUAACUUUCUUCACAUUUAGACAUUCAGUUUGUUUUUCCUUCUUAAUAUUUCAUCUUGCAAUUGCUCACUUUAUUUCUUCUAUUCAGCCACUCUGCCAUCAUCAUGAGCGUUCUGCCUUGUUGAGUUUCAAGGAAAGUCUUGUCAUUAAUCAGACUGCUUCCUCUGAUCCUUCUGCUUAUCCCAAGGUUGCGACAUGGAAGCCGGAUGAAAAAAAUAGGUUCUGAUCCUUCUGCUUAUCCCUAAAAAUUUUUUUGGGGAGAAAAAAAUAACUAUAAUUACUAUUUAUUUUUCCUGUUAAAAAAUAAUAGCUAUUGAGUGGUAAUUUUUUAUCCUACUAAAUAUCAUUAAAUCUCAUACACAUCUCAUUGUAAUUUGUUUUUUCAAAUUGUUGUAUGUUUUCAAGUAAUUUAUAAUUAAUAUUAUAUGUUUAAUUUAUUAAUUACUAGUCCUUUUUUAAUUAGCAUGCAUUAAAUUAAAUAUGUGUGAGAAUUAUUUAAAAUUUCCCAUUUAAUUUUCAACGUUAGAUUUAGAUAAAAACUGUUACAUUAGAAUAUAAAUGGUGGGAUUUUGUGUACGAUGCAGCAGGGAGCAGAUAUUCACUAUAGGAAAUAGAAACAAGUUCUGUUUGAAUUCAAAAUAAAUACACAUGGGAAACGAAGGUUGAAGCAAGCUAGAUCAAAAGUAUCCAUUUUCUAAAUAUACUUUUGUGGCAAUGAAACCAUUGAUUAAUAUACUUUUGGACUAAUAUGUUUGAUUUUCAUUUUAGGUACUCUUUGCAUGCACAUUAGAUAGAUAUAUUGAUGAUACUUGAUGAAAAAGAAGGCAGCGACCAGAUUCUAGUAACUGGCACCAUCAAAAGAGUGUAUGGCUAAACGUAAGGGAUAUAUAGCCUUAAAAACUCUCAUCUCUCCAGCAUGAACCAUCAAAGAAGCUCUAAUUUCCGGGAAAAAUUAAAAUUAUUUAAUUUACAUUACAUGUAAAUUCAUUGCCUAUAUAAUAUAAACUCUCAGUCACACCCAGAAGAUGAAUCACUAAAAGUCACUAGGCAUUAAAGAAUAUUUAUUUUACAGAUCAAUUGUAUGUUGCUGGGUUUGGUAUACCAGAAUGGAGAUGAUUAAAGUGGUUGCCAAUGACAUUAAUGAAGCUCAAACUGAUCAGAAAGAAGAUCAAUUAUUAGAAGCAUCAGAUGUUUUCACUAGAGCAAAACAUCCUGUUACAUUGAAGGUACGUAACACGUAUUUGAUGCGUCUUUCAUUUGUUGUCUAUAAUUAUUUCAAACUUAUUUUAUAAAAUCAUUGGUAUAAUUAGAUUUUUUAUUAUUAAUUAGUAUUCUAUUAUAGGAUUAUCUUGUACGUAUUAUUAAUAAUAAAUGUUCAUUUAUGUUGAAAUUCAAAUUAAGGAAAAUAUAUUAGAACUAAAGAAACUUCUUUUAUUUUGAUUCAUCAUUGCUGCUUAACUUUUUUUUUUUUUAAUUUAAUCCAUUGUUUUACAGUUUGAGGACAUUGUAUACAAGAUCAAAAUGAAGAAAGGAUUCUAUGGAAGCAACAAAAAAAUUGAAGAAAAAGCAAUAUUAAAGGGAAUCACUGGAAUGGUUAAACCAGGAGAAAUGCUAGCCAUUCUAGGCCUGAAGCUAGCCAUGCUAGGCCCUUCAGGCUGUGGCAAAACAACACUACUAACUGCAUUGGGGGGUCGACUUGGGCGAAUCAAUGGAAGGAUUACCUACAACGGGAAGCCUUUUCCGAAUCAAAUGACGUGAAACACAGGCUUCGUUACUCAAGAGGACGUGCUUUCCCCUUACUUGACCGUCACGGAAACAAUGGUAUUCACUGCCCUUCUUCAAUUACCUAAUAGUUUUACCGAAAAAGAAAAAAUCAAGUGUGCAGAAGCUGUGAUGACCGAGCUUGGUUUAAGCGAGUGCAAGAAUAGCCUCAUAGGAGGGCCACUGACAAGAGGAGUUUCAGGGGGAGAGCGAAAAAGGGUUAGUAUAGGGCAAGAAAUAUUGAUAAACCCCAGCUUAUUGUUUCUUGAUGAGCCCACUUCGGGUCUUGAUUCAACAAUAGCUCAACAGAUUUUAUCUAUAUUGUUGAAAUUAGCAAAUGGAGGGAGAACAAUUCUGAUGACAAUACAUCAACCUUGUAAUAUGCUAUAUUACAUGUUUCAUAAGGUGUUAUUGUUAUCAGAAGGUUACCCUUUAUAUUCUGGAGAAGCAUCAGGUGCUAUGAAUUAUUUUGCGAGCAUCGGAUAUUGCCCAUCAGUGCCUACGAACCCUUCAGAUUUUCUUCUAGAUCUAGCAAGCGGUAUAUGUGCUAAUUAAUUUUUACAAUAGCUUUUUAUAAUUAACAGAUAUAAGAGUAUCCAUUUAAGGCAUGCAUCAUUAAUGUGUAGGGAUGCCAUCAAAUGGAUCAUGGAAGGAGCAAGCCCUGGUCAAGCAAACUCUAAUUUCUCAAUAUGAAAAAAAUCUUGCCGACAAAUUGAAGGCUGAGCUAACACAAGAAAAUGAAAAUGAAUCUCAAGAUCAACCAGAAGACAAGCAAUUUAGAAGAUUCUCAACAACUUGGUGGCAACAAUUCCGUGUGUUGGUCAGAAGAGGGAUCAAAGAAAUCAUGGACGAAUCGUUUUCCUGCCUCAAGAUUAUUGAAGUCCUUGUGAUUGCUUUCCUUUCAGGACUACUAUGGUGGCAAUCUAGUAUUUAUCAAAUACAAGAUCAGGUAGCAAUUUCUUGACUUUUUGGAUAUACAUAUAUAAUUAAUUAAUUUGUUGAUUUAAUAGCAAUAUUUUUUUGUGUAAAUUAAUUAAUUUUGUUUUGACAAAAAAUGCUUGCAGAUUGGACUUCUUUUCUUUUUUUGUGACUUUUGGGGAUUUUUCCCAAUGUUGGAAUGUAUUUUCACGCUCCCACAGGAACAAAAGAUGCUCGAAAAGGAAAUAUCUUCAGGAAUGUACAGGCUUUCGGCAUACUUCAUGUCAAGAAUCAUCAGUGACCUUCCAAUAAAGCUUGUUAUUCCCACAGUUUUUGUGACCAUAACUUAUUGGAUGGCAGGCCUUAAACCAACAGCUUCAAAUUUCUUUGAAACCUUGUUUGUUCUUUUAUUUUCUGUGCUAGAGUCACAGGGCCUAGGGCUUGCCAUUGGUGCAAUGGUAAUGGAACAAAAAUCUGCAACGAUACUCGGAUCAAUCAUCAUGCAAUUAUUUGUGCUAGCAGGAGGGUAUUAUGUGCAAAAUGUGCCCUCUUUCAUUGCAUGGCUCAAAUAUUUAUCAAUUGGUCACCAUACGUACAAACUUUUGCUGGGGUCUCAAUAUAAUUAUAAUGAAACAUAUCCAUGCGGGGAUUCGGGAGGAUUAUGCUUGGUUGGAGAGCAUCCAACUAUAAAAAAAGUAGGGCUUAAUAGGAAAGAUUAUUCGGUGAUUGCUUUAGCCAUAAUGCUUGUGGGCUAUCGGCUUAUUGCUUACAUUGCUCUUAUGAGAAUUGGGGCAAAUUAAAUUGGCGUUACAUGACAAAAGAUCCAUAAAAACUCAAUAAUACUCAGAUAAGGAGAUGAUCAUGUUCCUAAAAAUAUAAAUAGGAUUAUUCAUGAGAUAAUUUUAGAAAAAACCUACUUUUUUUCAAAUUUAGUAGGGUUUCUUAGGACUCCUUAUAAAUUCAUACUUUUCCCUCUUCCUUAGCCCUAAGUCAACGUGUUCUUAUAUUUUCUCUAUUGUUCAUUGCUCUCUUACUCAUAUCCUAGGAUUCAAACCUUUCUUUAGGAGAGAAUCAUAACGGUUGAUAAGUUUUACUCUCCCUAUUGUCCACAAGUUUUCCUAUCACUCUAUUUAGGGUUGCAAUUGGCAUGCUUUUAAAAUGUUACAUAUCAUUACACAUGAUUUAGGAUGUGCUUAGGGCUUUGAUUUAUUAUUGAGUCUUGUUAAUCAAUCCUUGAUACAAUAAACACACUAGACAAUUUUGGAUAACAUGAAUAUCUCGAAAUUAAACAUAUAUUUUCUAAACGAUUCUUCUUAUGAACUUAUCUUUCCGAAAACAAGACAUGUAGAGCUUAUUGAAUAAAUUUUGUUUCACGAGAUUUGACUUCGUUUUUAAUUUUAUAUGUUUUUUUGAAACAGACACUACUGCACUAUUAUACUGUGACUUCAGUAGAAUAACAAAUUUCACAAAAUUAUUUGUUGUACCAAACGAAUUCGAAAAAUUCUGAAAUUUUAAAAAGAGAUUGAACAAUCACAUACACAUUAUCAAGAAAAGUGGGUCAGGGUAUUUGAACAUGGCACAAGGUAUGGCACACUCCGUACAACAUGGCAAUGUCACAACACAUUUUUAUCAAGGCUCAGGGCGAGUACAUAAUGACCACAUACACAUUAGGCCUCGUUCAAAGUUUAGAUAUGUAGAUUAAAAAAGGACGAUAUGAUUAUAGAUGGGCCAAAACUUGAUCUAUGUAGAGAGUACAUGCACACUUCAAGAUUGCAAUAUCUUUAUUAUUCUUAUAGUUUAUAAUUAUUUUGUAGUAUUUUUAUGUUUUUUACGAACUAUUUGUGAUAAAAUUUAAACUAACUGUAUAAAUAAAGACUUAAAUAUCCAAUAUCUUAAGGACAAGAUAGUGGAAACCAAACCUCCAAGCCCCACAAUUUUAAUAUGUUUGUAUUUGUCAAGAACUCAAUGACUUUCUUUGCAAUUGAGUUUUAACUCUUGCAUAAAUUGAGUUAAUUUUCAUAAUUUUAUUAAUUAAUUGAAGAUUUGCUCAUUUAGGAGAACGAAGACCAUUAAACUUGAGCAUGUUUGGAUUGUUUUCAAAAUUUAAAAAACUAAAUAAAGAAAUCAUACUCAGGUUUUUUUUUUAAAGAAAACAAGCAACAAAUAAGAUGAUUGUAGAAAAGUUCAAAUACAUUAAAGAUGAGAAUUUGUAACUUUAAAUUUAAAUAUAAACUUGUUACCUAAGAGAACCAACAACGUAAGAGGCACUUAGGGCAUUACCAAAACCUCUUCAAAUUAGAUUUUACUUCUUAUUUAAAGAGCCGCAUCAAUAAUAAACACUCUAAAAGAUACUUACUUUAGUUGGGAUUCUUAAAUUAAGAUAUGUUUCUCACUUUUCAGUUUUGCUGAAUAAGUUUUUUCAUCUUCUAUUAAUAUUUUAUUAUUUUCACUGGGGAGAAAAAAAUAACUAUAAUUACUAUUUAUUUUUCCUGUUAAAAAAAUAAUAGCUAGAGUGGUAAUUUUUUAUCCUACUAAAUAUCAUUAAAUCUCAUACACAUCUCAUUGCAAUUUGUUUUUUUCAAAUUGUUGUAUGUUUUCAAGUAAUUUAUAAUUAAUAUUAUAUGUUUAAUUUAUUAAUUACUAGUCCUUUUUUAAUUAGCAUGCAUUAAAUUAAAUAUUUGUGACACUCUAGACAUAUGUGUUCACCUUGUAGGGUGGAGAGAUUAAAGGUUAUAAUGCCAUACCAUAAAUAUAUGAGCAACUGAUCAUUGUUAGUAGAUUUAAAGGUAUGAGAUUUCCAACAUGCGAUAGCUGCGGAUGCAGAUUUAUUCUACCCAUUGCUGCAGCACUUAUUGUAACAACUGGUGCUAAUUUGGUAAACAACAGUCAGCCCAUUAGGAGAGUUUGAUCAUUCAACUACUAUAUUCUUAAUUGAAUCUUAGACACAUUUAACUUAGUUUAUUUCAUUACAGUAUUUUUUUAUUUCCAUCUCUCACAAUUAUUAGUUACGAUAGAAUUAUUUGACAAUUGUUUGUUUCGGUCUUUAGUUGAUUUGCACUAUUAUGAUUGCUUUAGCAUUUUGGAGUAACAUCAAUCCCUGUGGAGACGAUCUUGAAUACUCAUCACUUUGUUACUUAUUGUGUAUACUUGCACAUUGGCAUUGAUAAUAAUUGAUUAUAGAAAUCAAUCAACAAUGGCCAAGUCAAUACUUCAUGAAAAGGGGCUGCUAAAAUCUUUUCGGGGUGAAGUGAUUCAUAUGGUUGUAUAUUAGACAAAUAGGUGCCCAACAAAAGUAUUUCAAAAUUAAACACCAAUUGAAGCCUGGAGCGAAAGAAAGUCGUUAAUAAGACAUCUGAAACUAUUUAACUGUAUUUGCUAAUCACAAGUUCCCAAAAAAAAAAAAGACAUACACUUGAUAAGACAAGUGAAAAGUACAUUUUUACAGUUAUAGCUCACAAUCUAAAGGCUAUAGGUUGUAUAGUUUAAAGAUUAAUAAGAUAGUCGUGAUGUGUAAUUUAAUGAAAAAACAACAUCGAAUCAGGAGCAAAGUUAAGGUGAACAAAAGGUUAUUAAUGUGGAAGAAAUCAAAAGACAAUCAAUCCUUGAUAUCGAAAACAAUGAAAAUUCACCUCAAGUAUCUCCACCAUCAAGUGCAUUGUCACAUCAAUUGACUCAUCAAGUUCAUCUACAGGUCCAAAAAAAAUGAAGAGUUUGGCUGACAUUUAUGCGAGAUGCAAUUUUUGUGUCUUUGAACCUAAAAAUUUUGAGCAAGCCAUAGAAGAUGAAGCUUGAGUGGUAACUUUUUUGGGGAUAAGCAGAAGGUGUCAAAUGCAAUGAAGACACUGGUCAUGUUGUGGAGCUCGAUCUUGCUAGCAGUUGCCUCUAUGGUUCUAUCAACUAUACCAGCAGUCUCUUUCAGCUUGUUCAUCUGCAACGGCUUAGUCUCUUCGAUAACAACUUCAAUUUCUCUGAAAUCCCUUCUGGAAUCUUAAACUUUUCAAGGCUGACCCAUCUAAAUCUCUCUCGGUCUUAUUUUUCUAGUCAAAUACCAGCAGAGUUGCUGGAGCUCUCCCAUUUGGAGGUCCUUGAUCUAUCAUUUUGUAAUUUUGAUAAUUUUUAUCUGAAGCUCCAAAAGCCAGGUCUUGCAAAUCUAGUAGAGAAUUUAACCAACAUGAAAGCACUUGAUCUUAUCAAUGUCAACAUUUCUUCAACAGUUCCUCAUACUUUGGCAAAUUUAUCUUCUUUGCGUUUCUUGUCUCUCAGUGGAUGCCGUUUGCAAGGUGAAUUUCCCCAAGAGAUUUUCCAGUUACCCAACCUUCAAUUCCUUGGUGUGAUGAAGAACCCAAAUCUCACUGGAUAUUUGCCACAAUUCCAGAAAAACAGUCCCCUUGAAGAUUUGAGACUUUCAUACACGAGAUUUUCAGGUAAGAUUCCAGAUUCAAUAGAAAAUCUUGAAUCUUUAUCUUACCUGGAUAUUAGUGACUGCUCCUUUGUAGGAAAAAUUCCAUCUUCACUUUUUAACCUUACCAAGCUCGAAUAUCUAUACCUUUCUGGUAAUAGAUUCUUGGAUGAGUUGCCUACCUCCAUUGGAAAUUUUGCUUCUUUGAAAACUUUAGAAAUUUAUUCAAUCAAUUCCUUAGGCACAAUUGCUGCACUUGGUAAUCUUACCCAACUCAGUUCAUUGACAAUUUCUGGCAGCAACUUAGUUAGUGAGAUCCCGUCUGUUUUCAUGAACCUAACACAGCUUACUGAUUUAGAUUUGAGUCAAAACCAAUUAACUAGUCAUAUUUCAGUUGAAAUUAGUAAUCUAACUCAACUGUAGUAUCUGUAAUUUUCAUCGAAUCAAUUGGAAGGCUCUGUUCCAAGCUCUAUCUUUGAGCUUAGGAAUCUAGAAGGGCUUGACCUUUCCUUCAAUAAUCUCAGUGGCACAGUGGAUCUAAACAUGUUCCUUCUUAGCUUCAAACGUUUAAAAGUAUUAGGUUUCUCAUCAAAUAAAAUGUCAUUCCUCACUAGAACCACUUAUAGUACCAAUACACAGAAAUUUAAGAUAAUAGGAUUGAGAUCAUGCAACCUUAGCGAGUUCCCAUCUUUUUUGCACAACCAAGACCAAUUGAUGUCACUGGAUCUUUCCUCUAACAAGAUAGAUGGAAAAAUACCUGAAUGGUUGUUCAGUGCAGGUACAAAUAGUUUGGAAUAUUUGAACCUUUCUUACAAUCGAUUGAUGGACUUCGAGCACAAUCUCCGUGUUCUUCCAUGGAAUUAUCUUAGAGCCCUAGACCUUAGGUUUAAUAAGCUGCAAGGACCACUCCCAAUUCCAUCAGCGUCAAUUUUUUCAUAUCUCAUUUCAAACAAUCAGCUGACCGGGGAAAUUCCACCAUCAAUAUGCAGUUUGAAUGGUCUUCAUGCUCUUGAUUUGUCUCACAACAACUUAAGUGGCAUGCUUCCUGAAUGUUUGGGCAAUUUCAGUGUUGAGUUGUCAGUAUUAAAAUUGCAAAGUAACAACUUUCAGGGAAGCAUUCCUCAGACCUUCACGAAAGGAACAAAUCUGGCUAUGAUUGAUUUAAGCAACAAUUCAUUGCGUGGGAGAAUCUCGAAAUCACUGGCAAAUUGUGUGAAGCUCAAAUUUGUCCAUCUUGGGAAUAACCAAAUCACUGAUGUCUUCCCUUCCUGGCUGGGAACUCUUCCAGCGUUAGAGGUUCUUGUCUUGAAAUCCAAUAACGUUCACGGAGAAAUAAAGGAACCUCGAACAGCUUUCGAUAUUUUGAAGCUCCGCAUCAUUGAUCUCUCUCAUAACAGAUUUGGAGGCAUUCUUCCGUCGAAGCACUUCGAUUAUUGGAAUUCCAUGAAAUAUGUCAAUGCAAGUAACCUAACAUAUAUGCAUGAUACACUAGAUCCACGGGGUUAUCCUGUAUCUACCUAUUUUGGCUUUUUUGAUUACUCACUAACAAUGAGUAACAAAGGCACAUAAUUGGAAUAUGAGAAGCUCUCAAAUCUGAUCACAGCAAUUAUUCUCUCCAACAACAGUUUUGUAGGAGAGAUUCCAACAUCAAUUGCUAAUUUAAAGGGGCUUCGAAAUCUCAAUCUUUCCAACAACAAUCUCCAGGGCCGCAUUCCAUCAUCUUUGAGUAACCUAACGGCGAUAGAGUCAAUGGACCUCUCCAGUAACAUGCUCUUAGGAAAUAUUCCUCAACAACUCUCAGAGCUCACAUUCCUUGCAGUCUUUAAUGUGUCAGAUAACAUGCUCACAGGGCCAAUACCACGAGGGAAACAGUUUGACACAUUUUUGAAGAGUUCAUUUGAUGGAAAUCCAGGGUUGUGUGGUGGACCUUUGUCAAAAAAAUGUAACAACUCCGAGGCUUCACCACCAGAAGAAGAUCCUCACUCAGAAUUUGUAUUUGCAUUUGGUUGGAAGACAGUUGUGAUUGGAUAUGCCAGUGGGACAAUAAUAAGAGUGAUUAUUGGGCACAUCUUCAAUACAAGAAAGUAUGAAUGGCUCGCCAGGACUUUUCACCUGCAAUCGAAAGCUAAUGGGAGGAGGAGGAGAGUCGGGAGACAUAGGCAACAGAUGUAAUUAACCCUUUUUCUUUUUCUUUUUCUUGUAUGAAGGAGCUGCUUUAUUAUGCUUUAAAUUUCUUUCUCCUUCUUUUCUUCGAAGUUUAAUAAACGUUUUAUUAUUAUAUAUUGUUAGAGUGCAAUUUAUGCACUAGUUUUGCAUUGUUUACUUCCCUUAAUAUCGAUGUUUUGCACUUAAUAAUAAUGAUUUACUUGUGUUUUACUUUUGUAGGUGCAAUUCUAUUGAUUUGUGAUAAAAUUGAGCUAUAAGAUGAUGUUUAAGGAUGAUUGUCCUCUUGGAGAAAUUAUGAGCGUUAGAAGAACUUUGUCGAUAAGGCGUGGACGUGUGCUGUCAACUGCGGACCUACAGUUUUUAGUUUAACGUGUUUUGUAUUUUUGGUUAUUUUUGUAAUUACGAAUUUAAUAUUUCAGAUAUUAGUAUUUUAUUUUAAAUAGAACUCUAAAAGAGAAGAGAGAGAGAGUAUUUAAGGGAGGAAUCUAUUGUGAAAAAGGGGGAUUGGAGAAAAAGAAAGAAACCCUAGAUCUAAACUUUUCUCUUCUCUUUAUGAAGAACUAAACCUAUUUUCUGAUUGAAGGAUAAUGAAGCUUUGAUUCAUCACUACUGUGAGAUCUAUUUUAUGCUUUAAUUAUUUUAUUGCUUUUUGGGUAUUUGUUUAUUCUCUGAAUUAUUUUCAUGAUUAUGUUUGUUAAUUAGGUAAUUGGCCACUAUUUAAUUAUCAACUUAAUCUAUUGUUAAUUAAAGGAUUCAUCGUAUGAAGAUUUUAAUGUUUGUGACAAAUAACAUAGCAAUGAGUUGUGUUAUGUGAAUAAACAAUCUAAUUUAAAUGAAUCAUCGUAUGUGUUGAUUAGGAUUUGGGUCUCUCUGGUCUUUCAGGCUGUCAAUUGAUUAAAUCCUAUGAUCGUAUCUAGGGUUGUCUAUUGAUUAGGGAAAUAACCAAUGGUCGUACCUUGGUUAUCGACUAGUUAAGGAGAGAUUGGCUAUUAGAGGGUCUCAGUAGCUAUAACCGGUCUAUUCAUAAGUAAUAAUAAUUUAUAUUUGAAUAAAUGAUCAGUAUCGAAUCAAGCUGAGUUAAUUCCUUCAACCAGAGCUUUCUCUAAUUUGAAUCACAACUUUAAUUUACAUUCUUGUUAUUUUAAUUUGAUUUUUAUUAUUGUCAACAAAACCCCCAUUUUAUGUUUUAUGUUUUAAAAGGAUUUAAAUAAUUACCGAUCUCUGUGGACACGACCCUGCUCAAUCACUAUACACAAUUUAUUUAGAGUAGAAAUUUAUUUUUGUUGGCUUCGACAACCAUCAUAUAUGUACUAUAUUGUCAGUGCAGGUAGGCUAAUAAUUUGAUGGUUCUUGGCAAUUUUUCCUUUAGUACGGCAUUCAUAUCGGCUGCUGCUUCUUUUUUAUUUUUUAUUCAGUACCUUAUUACUGUCUUGAUUUGAUCAAACGAUCAUGUCUUUAAUUAACAAAAUUUAAUAUAAUAGUUGUAAAAGAUUAAUGCAGCAUUCUCUUUUUCCAAACCUGAAAGGAUAUGAUUUGGAAAAAAAAUUCAUAUAAUUGAUGAUCAGGUAUUAGUGAUUUUGGCACCAGUACAAAAGUCUGCGAACUUUUUGUAUUUUACUUUUCAUAAUUUCCAUAUAUUCUCUAAUUUGUUUUGGGUAAAAACCCCGAAUUUAGUUGAAGAACCGCUUAAAAUUACAAAUUAAUCUCUCAAAGAGUUCUCUAACAAUAAUCAACUUUUUGAAGCAUCGAGCUAUCACAUGGGGUGCCAUAUAACUACAGUAAAAAAAUAUCAUUAGUCAUCAAAUAUGUGCCAACAAUAUAAUUGGUAAAUAUUAACUAUCAUCAAAACUCAAUCACAAUGCUAGAGGUGGCGUAAAAGUAAUUUGAAAUAGAAAUAUCUUUAAUCAAGUUGUUGAAACAUAAAAAUAUAUUAAACAUGUGUGUUUACACGUAGAAUUUGCUUGGGAUUUUAGCUGCAUUUUGUAAAACUUUUCAAAUAGAAAUUAUUUAAUUAAAGCUUUUACAUUACCCGAAAAAAGUAAUUACCAAAAAUAUUUGAGUUGUUUGAUUGUCAACCAGAGUUUUUUUUUUAAAAUUUGUAUAAUUAUUUUAAUAGUCAAUUUUUUAUAGUUAUUUUAUAAAAGAAUGAAAUACAAUUAUCAAAUAUAAUUAAAAAUACUUUAGACGGUUUAACACUUUAAAAAAAAUUCACAAUGAAACUAUGGAAAAAUAAAAUUACCCCAACAAGAUUCUGUGCUCAACAUAGACAAAAGCAUGGUUAAUAGCCGGCAAGGAAGAAAGGGGUGGGAUUGGUUUUCUUUUCCUUUUUAUUUUAUUUUAAUGUAAUCUUUCAAUUUUGUCCUCCAUAAUAAAAUAUUUAAAUAACUUUUUUCUUAAUUUACAUGAUGUUUUGUACAAAGCGCUUGGUUUCAUGUUUUUGUACAAAUCGAUUUUGCCAAAUUCACAGAACUAUACUAACAAAAAAGAAUCCUCCAGCCAGCCUAUCAUAGAGAGUUUUAAAAGGAAUUAUGUUUAAUAAGAAAUUAUGCGGUUAUUCUUAUUUUUAAGGGAAAAGGACAUACACACCCCCAACGUUUAGACAAAUGGACAAAAAUCCCCCUAACGUUUUAAAAAAGACAUUUACACUCCCAUUCACUAACGGAAACAAUAACUUUUAACGAAAAUAGUAAUUUUAAUAUAUAAUUGCCGUUAUACCCUUCUAACAUAUAAAAAAAUAAUUAUUGAUUGUCCAUUUUACCCAUAUAUUGUUAAUAAAAUUACAAACAUAUUCUUUUUGUCCAAUUCUUCGAUUUAAAUUGUCAAAUUUUCUCUUCAAAACAAACAAAUUUAAUCAUUAUUCAAGAAUAAAAAUAAAUAAAUUUAAAUUUUUGUCAAAUUUUUUCUUCAAACCAAAUAAAUUUAAUUAUUAGUUAUUAAUGCCAUAAAAAUAAUAAUUCCAUUCUUAUUUUCCACAGUUGCAUAUAGAGUAAUUUAUUGUUUUCGUAUAUUGUAUAAUAACACAAUUAGUUGAAGAAUCUGACUUGAUUUUCAAAUUAACUAGCCAUACAUCAGUAAAUUUAAUCAUUACUCAAAGAAUAAAAAUAAAUAAAUUAAAAUUUUUGUUAAAUUUUUUCUUCAAACCAAAUAAAUUUAAUCAAUACUCAAAAAUAAAAAUAAAUAACACUAGUAUAUGCCAUAAAAAUAAUAAUUCUCCACAUGUCAACCGAAAAAAAAAUGGUUACAACAAUAUUCACAAAAAAAAAAAAAUUCUAUCUCCUUCUUCACUAUCUUCACAAUCCACUUCUUCACCGCCUUCAAUAUGCCCAACAUCCACUCCAUCGUCAUCCCAAUUUAAUCCAUUUUCAUCAUCAAUAGGUGUUAUGUCUUCAUUAUCGUCAUUUGACCAAUAUGCUUCAUCAUCUUCUUGUUCAUUUGACCAAUAUGUUUCAGAUUUUGGGAUGAGUGAUCAACCUGAGACUUCAGAUCUGUGUCAUGCAGGCCACUAUUUGUUGCCAUCUGCACACCAGUACAUGCUUUUCAUUGGUAAAUUAAGCACGAAAUUCACAUGCUUCAUGACCAUAAUACACUACCCAGGUGAAUAUUCUACCCAAAUAUUGCAUAUAACCAAAUAAAUUGAUUCCUUUGUUCCAUGUACAUCUAAAAAUUAAUCAAAACAAUAAAUAAUAAAAAUAACUACCAAUAAAUAUCCAAUAAGCCAGACAAAUUAUCAUCAUCAUUAUACAAAAUGGAAAUUAUAAAAAUAAUAAUAAUCCUAAGUGGCUCAAGCAAACAAAAAAUACCUAGUUCCAGCAUCUUCCGGCGGGAGCAGCAGCACCAGCGGCAGUCUUCGAUCGCGAGCAGUUCCAGUCGCUUCCAGCGGCGCGCACGACGCACGAGCAGCAGCACAGUCGCGGUAUCGAUCGCGAUCGCAAGCAGUUCCAGCAGCAGCUUCCGGCGGCGCGCACGACGCAAGAGCAGCAGCACCACCUUCCUGCAGCUUCCGGCGAUUAGUAUGAGUGUGUGUGUUAAAGGUUUGUAAGAUCUGGAAAGUGUGUCGCUUUGUGUGUUCAGUGUGUGUGUGUUUUGUUCGUUUAAGUGUGUGUGUGUUUUGUUCGUGUGUGUUUGUGGGUUUUUUGUCAAUUCAUUUGUACUAAUAUGUAAUUACAAUAUUAAGCUUUAGAUAAGUUAACGAAAUAGUUUCAGGAGGUGGAAAUGUUUUUUUCAAAACGUUAGGGGGUUUUUGUCCCUUUGUCUAAACGUUGGGGGUGUGCUUGUCCUUUUUCUUAUUUUUAAUGCACAACUUGUUCUGCUCUCAAUGUUACAGCUUACCUUUGCGUUCUGUCUUGUUGCAAUCCAAGCAAAGCCUUACCGUUGUUCAGUAUUUUUUUUAUGAUUAUCCUUCAGCUUAUUCCAAUGUGGCAUCAUGGAACCAGGAAGAAGAAAAUAGCGACUGCUGCUUAUGGGACGGCAUCAAAUGCAAGGAAGACACUGGUCAUGUGAUCAGGCUUGAUCUCACAUGCAGUUGCCCCUAUGGUUCUAUCAAUUCUAGCAGCAGCCUCUUUCAACUUGUCCGUCUAGAAUGGUUUGUUCUCUCCAAUAACCACUUCAACUUUUCUGAAAUCCCUUCAGAAAUCAAGAACCUGUCAAGACUAACAGCUCUCUUUCUCUCUCUCUAAUUCUUCGUUUUCUGGUCAAAUUCCAGCCGAGAGAGCUAGUUGGAGAGUCUUGAUCUAUCAUUUAAUAAUUUUCAUCUGAAGCUCCAAAGCCCGAGUCUAGCAAAUCUAGCUGAGAAGUUAGCCAACCUAAAAGUACUUCACCUUGGACAAGUCGAUACUGCUUCUACAGUUCCUUAUGCAUUGGCAUAUUUAUCAUCCUUGUUUUCUUAUCUCUCACUGAUUGCAUAUUGCAAGGUGAAUUCCCUGCAGAGAUUUUCCAGCUACCCAAACUUGUAUUUCUCGCUCUGACGUAUGAUCUCUAUCUCACCGGAUAUUUGCCAGAAUUUCAGAAUAGCAGUGUCCUUGUAGAUUUGAGAAUUUCACAUACGAGAUUUUCAGGUAAGAUUCCGGAUUCAAUAGAAAAUCUUGAAUCCCUAUAUUCCUUGGGUAUUAGAGGUUGCUCAUUUUCAGGAAAACUUCCUUCCUUCACUUGGUAAUCUUACUAAACUCAAUGAUCUAUACCUUUCUGGUAAUGAUUUUUCGGGUGAGUUGCCUGUUUUCCUGGGAAAACUUUCUGUUUUUGAAAACGCUAGAAAUCAUUUCAUGCAACUUCUCAGGCAAAGUUCCGGAUUCACUUGGUAACCUUUUGCAGCUGAAUUAUUUAACUGGUGAGAUCUUAGUUCUGCUCUCGAAUCUAACACAACUUACUCAAUUAAAUUUGGCUCUUAACCAGUUAUCUGGUCCAAUCCGGUUUUGCUUGUUGAACCUUAGCAAAUUAUCAACUCUGUACUUAUAACAUAAUAAACUGACAGGGCGUAUGCGUAUUCCAGUUGAAAUUAGAAAGCUAACCCAAUUGCACAUUCUGCGCUUAGCGGAGAAUCAAUUGGAAGGCUCUGUUCCUAGCUCUAUCUUUGAGCUAAGGAAUCUUCAAGCGCUUGACCUAUCCGACAACAAUUUGAGUGGCACAGGGGAUCUAAACUUUGUCCUUCUUAACAUGGAAUCUUUAACAGCAUUACUUCUCUCGUCAAACAAGUUGUCAUUGCUCACUGGAACCACUGUCAAUACCAAUUUGCCAAAUUUCACUAUAAUAGGGUUCAGUUCAUGAAACCUUAGCGAGUUCCAUAUUUUUUUGCACAACCAAGAUCAAUUGCUAUCUCUGGAUCUUUCCUCCAACAAGAUAGCUGGCCAGGUACCUCAAUGGUUGUUAAAUGUAAGGAUAAAUAGUUUGGAAUAUUUGAACUUUUCUCACAAUCUGUUGACAGGCUUCGAGCAGGAUCUCUUUGUUCUUCCAUGGUCUAAAAUGAAUACUUUAGACCUUAGUUUUAAUAAGCUGUAAGGACCACUCCCAUUUCCAUCAUCAGUGUUUGUCCAUUCCUAUCUAGUUUCAAACAAUCAGUUGACAGGGGAAAUUCCACUCCAAAUAUGUUGUUUGAGUGGUCUUUACGCUCUUGAUUUCUCUUACAACAACUUCGUUGAAUCUUGAUUGGAAUCAGUCAACCAAGAAUCCUCACGACCUUUCUAAACUCUCUGAUAAUUGAUAUAGAAACAGCAACUAAUCACGCAAAAGCAAAAACAACUCAAAAACCUGCAAGCUAAGAACAACAAUUUAUGGUGGUUCGGCCUGGAGAUGGCGUAUAUCCACUGAAGAACAGAGCAACAGCUUUUAUUCAAUCACUGAGAACAAAAUACAACCUUAAAGACAAAGUUACAAGCAUUUCACACUAUGAUUUCACUUCCCUUAAGGCUAUAUAUACACGCUUAAGAGCCUCCAGAAAGAUCCCCUGCCAGCCAGCUGUAUUCUGGGUUUGUUGUAAACAAAACCCAGAAUUUUCCCGCUUUCAUAACCGAAAAUAACAAGCUUCUAGACACGUGUUUCCUUCACGUUAAACAUAGGCCCAAAACGACAGUAAAUAAUGCAGUAUAGGAUAAGUGACUGCACAUGACAAGCACAUGCUCAACUUAUUCAAAUGUUACUGACAAAAUAAUAUUGUCAUACGGACUUAUAAGUUUUUAAGUCGACAUGUCGUAUUGCACCAAAGCUUUAAACUGACAGAACAUCUGAUCUUCUGGAAACUAGCUUCAAAGCUCACACCUAACGAACUUCAGUAGCAUGGUUCCCAAAUGUUUGGGCAACCUCUGUGAUAAGUUGCCAGUGUUAAAAAUGCAAGCUAACAACUUUCAUGGAAUCAUUCCUGAAACCUUCGUGAACAGAACAAAUUUGAGUGAUUGAUUUUGACAACAAUUCAUUGCAAGGAAGAGAACCUAAAUCCCUAGCCAAUUGUGUGAAGCUAAACUUUCUUAAUCAUGGGGAUAGCCAAAUAACUGAUGUCUUCCCUUCUUGGUUGGGAACUCUGCCAGAGGUAGAGGUUCUCAUUUUGAAAUUCAACAACUUUCAUGGAGAAAUAGAGGAACCUCAAACUGCUUUUGAGUUUCCCAAGCAUCGCAUCAUUGAUCUCUCUCAUAAUAGGUUUACAGGUAAUCUUCCAUAAAAGCACUUCUACCGCUGAAAUGCCAUGAAAGAUCUCAAAGCAAGCAAGUAAGCUAGCCAUGAAAGAUCUCAAAGCAAGUAAGCUAACAUAUUUGCAAGUUAAACCGGUGGCGCAUGAUUUAGAUGCGUUUACCAACUAUGGUUCCACCGAUUACUCACUAACAGGCCAGCUCAACCAUAUUUGGGGACAAAUGGUUUUAAUUAAUUAUUCUUAAAAUUUAAGACAAAAAAUAUAUAUAUUAUUUAUUGAAAUCAAUUCUUUAAACACUCUAAAAUGUAAAAAUUAUUAAAUAAAAUUCUAUUCUACUGUUGGUAAUCCAUGAAAUUUUAAUUCAAUUAUAACAUUUUCACUUAUUGGUUUUUUUAACUCAAAUUACAUCUUUUUUACUACUUCCUUUCUAGAUUAAACUAAUUUUUCUGUUCUUCUAUUUUCUAAAGUUUUUCGAUAUAGUUUUAUUUCAAAAUAGAUAAAACAAGCACACACAAGAAAAGUAGAUGAAUAAAAGAAUAUAUUAAAAAGAAAUAAGAACAAAUAAAUAACCCAACUAAUUAAGAGAAUAAUAAAAAGAUAAAAUCUGGAAUUUGAGAUGAAAUCAUAAAUUAACUUUAUCUUUAUAAUAAUUGUUUGAGAAUUUGAGUGAUGACCAAUAGCCAUAGAGAAUAGAGAAAAUGAUUAGAUUUUUUCUUUUUUUUUCUUGAGUGGAAAGCAGAGGAAGCAAGAUUUUUUUCCCUCUCUCUCUCUUUCUUUCUCUCAAACACCAAGAACAUAUCGUAUCUUGAUUGUUGGAGGAAAAAUUUAAUGGAUAAGUAAUAAAAUGUGGGGCUUUUAUAGAGGCUUAAAAUGAACAUAAAACUUUUUAAUUAUAACAUAUUAAUUCUAACAAUGAAAUAGAGUUUGUAGGAUUGAAACUAUUAAUUUAUCGGUUUUGUAAGAAUUAAAACUAUUAAGUACUAUAUUAAACAAACUUUAUAGGAAUUUGAUAGUUUAUUUAAGAAAAGAUAAUUACAAAAUAAUAAUAAAUUAAAUGAAUAAUAAUGACUUUUAAAUUCAUUUUCUCAUUUUAUAUACAAAAUAAUCAUCUCAUGAGGUCUUUAUAUAAAGCGGGACCCUAGGCAACCGCCUAAGUUGCUUAGAGGUCAAGCCCCUACUGCUAAUAAUGAGAAACAAAGGCAGAGAUAGAAUAUCCCAAGCUGUCAAAUUUGAUCACAGCAAUUAUUCUCUCCGACAACAAUUUUGUUGGAGAGAUUCCAACAUCAAUCGCCAAUUUAAAGGGGCUUCGGACUCUCAACCUUUCCAACAACAAUCUCCGAGGGUACAUUCCAUCAACUUUGAGUAACCUAACCGUGAUAUAGAGUCAUUAGACCUCUCUCGUAACAAGCUCACAGGACAAAUUCCUCAGCAAGUAGCAGACCUCACAUCCCUUUCAUUCUUUAAUGUGUCACACAACCAUCUGAGUUAAAGAACAGAAAAUAGUUGUUUGGCUUAUGAGAAAGUUAAAGAAAAGAAAUGAGAUCUGGAAACUUCAACUUUAUUCAAUUCUUUUGUUUUCUGGAACUAUAACCAUCUACUAAUCGAUUACAUGUAUAUAUAUACAAGUGCAGCUGCUCGGCUGAAGUUUAACAAACUAACUAACUAUUUACAAAUUGAUUAAAAAAAUUAUCACGUGUAUAUGUACAAGCAGCUACAUAACCACCUGGUGCCAGCUGGCAGUACAUGUCAUCAACUUGUAACUGAUUGUAGAAGUUUCUAUGAUCCUCUGCUCUGUUGCAAAUAUGAGCCUCCUUAACAAUCUGACGGGAGUAAUACCACAAGCGACACAGUUCAGCACAUUCACGAAUGAUUCGUUUGUUGGAAAUCCAGGAUUGUGUGGAGAACCUUUGCCUAGAAAAUGUGAAAACUCUGAUGCUUCCCCAGCAGAUGAUGAUCUAUACUCAGAAUCUGUAAUUGCAUUUGGGUUGGAGACGGCGCUAGCAGGAUGUGCAAGUAGGACAAUAAUAGGAGUGGCACUUGGGUACAUCUUCUCCACGAAAGUAUGAAUAGCUUACGAAGACUUUUCGACUACGACCAGAAAGUAGUGGAAGGAGGAGGAUGUUUGAAAGCUUAAAAGAACAGACUGUUUGGUUACUGAGAAAAGAAAAAAAAAUGUAUUUAAGGUGCUAAGAAAAUUUGUAAAAGACUUAUGAAUCAAAUGCUUUAUUUCAUUUUUACUUAAUAAUAAAAUGAUUACAAGAUGCUUGUAUUUAUACUCAGCUGUUUACAGCUUAACAGAAAAUAAAGAAGCUAACUGAAUAUGAUCUCAACGUGUGUAACUAACUUCAGCUGAGCUGGCACUUCACUCUUCAAUUGAUUCAGCUGACUGUAUUCAUCUCACACGUGUGCUGCAUCCUUCCAUGCAUAAUGAGCUUCCUUGACAGCCCCCCUCAAACUCAAGGGGCAUGGUUGCACAUUGAGUUUGUCUCUGAAAUAAUUGAAAUGAAUGAAUGUCAGAGGCUUUGUCAAAGCAUCAGCAAUUUGCUCCUCGCUGGGAAUAUAGUUAAUCUCUAACUCCUUUGCCAAAACUUUGUCUCUAAUAAAGUGCAUAUCAAGUUCAAUGUGUUUAGUCCUUGAAUGAUAAACUGGAUUCUUGGCCAACUCUGUUGCACUUAUAUUAUCACACCAGAUAGUUGGUAAUGAAGUACACUUAAUGUUGAGUUCACUGAAUAAUGACUGGAUCCAUGUUAUCUCUGCACUUGCAGAAGCCAGAGCACGAUAUUCACUCUCUGCACUGGAUCGUGUAACCACAGCCUACUUCUUGGAUGACCAUGAAAUUAGAUUGUUUCCAAAAUAAAUGCAAUAUGCUCCUAUUGAUUUCCUGUCAUCAACAUCACAUGCCCAAUCUGCAUCUGUAAAUCCUGUGAUCUUCAUUUCCCCACCUGCUGAAAACUUCAAACCAUGAUCUGCAGUUUCCUUAAGGUAUCUAAGAACUCUUUUACAAGCCAUAACAUGCUGGAGUGUUGGAGCUGUCACAUACUGGCUCAACUUAUGCACAGCAAAUGCUAUCUCUGGUCUGGUUAAUACCAGAUAUUGUAAACCUCCAACUAAGCUUCUAUAGCUUGUUGCAUCCUCAAUAUAUUGACCCAAAUAGCCUUUAACUUCUUUCUAAAGCUUUGUUCCAGUAACUAUGGGAGUGUCACAGCCUUUACAAUUUUGCAUAUCAGCUUUGGAUAACAAAUCCAAGAUAUAUUUCUUCUGAGAUAGAUAGAUGCAGUCUUCAGCAUAGGAAACUUCUAUCCCCAGAAAAUAUGACAGAAUUCCCAAGUCUUUUAAAGCAAAAGUCUUACUGAAUUCUGAGAUGAAUUUUUCCAGCUCACCAUUAUCAGGUCCUAUUAUUAGAAUGUCAUCAACAUAGAUUAAGAUAAGUAUCAUUGAACCCUGCACUUCUUUGAAGAAGAGAGAGGUAUUAGCCUUUGAAUUCUGAAAUUUCCAAUUAGCAAUAAGACAAUUCUUAAGCUUGUCAUACCAAGCUCUAGGAGCUUGCUUCAAGCCAUACAAGGCUUUCUUCAGCUUACAUAUAUGAUUGGGUUUUUGUUGAUCAAUAAAACCUUCAGGCUGAUACAUAUAGACAUCCUCUGUCAAGUCUCCAUUCAAGAAGGCAUUAUUCACAUCUACUUGCCUUAUUUUCCAUUUAUGCAUCACAGCUAAACUCAGAACAAUCCUUACUGUUGAAGCUUUUACAACUGGGCUAAAGGUCUCAAAGUAAUCCACACCUUCAGUUUGCUGAAAACCUUUGGCAACCAACCUGGCCUUGUGUUUGGCUAUGCUUCCAUCAGUAUUUUGCUUAAGUCUAAACACCCAUUUGUUGUCAACUACUUUGUAUGCAUUUGAAAAUGGUACCAGUGACCAAGUCUCAUUCUUUAUCAAAGCUUCAUACUCAUCUACCAUGGCUUGAUGCCAAUUCUGACUACUAAGAGCUUCUUGAACUGUACUGGGUUCUUUGUUGGCUAAGGUGACUGUAUAGACCUUUGGUUUGAAGAUUCCAGAUUUUGAUCUGGUAAUCAUUGGAUGAGAAGAUGGUUGGGAAUGAUUUCUGGUUUGAAUUUGGUCUAUGUUCUGUGGAAUGGAAGUUUCCUCUGAUUGUAGAAUGGAUGAUUGUACUGGUAAUGUGUUUGGUGAUGGUGAGGUUGAGGAUGAUAACUCUAAAGAUGUGUGUGAUGGAUGUUCUUGUUGAUUCAGAAUAUCUGUAUGUGUGGGAACAGAGGGCAUUUGUUCACUUCUUGCUGAGCCUGCUGAUUGAAGACCUUCAAAGCUGCUGUUGGGUAAGGCCAUUGUAGAAAGAUGAUAGAUAUGUUGUUGAGAGAAAUUAGACACUGAGGUUUCAGAAGAUAUGGGGUUUUCUGAUGAGUGAGAUGUAGUGUUUAUUGGAUAAGGGAAUGUGUUUUCAUCAAAAAUGACAUGUCUAAGAACAUAGACUUUGCCAGAACUUGCUAAGCACUUGUAUCCUUUAUAAGAGGGAUUGUAUCCAAUAAAAAUGCAUUUAGAGGUGUGAAAAUCAAACUUAUGUUUAUUAAAAUCUCUCAAGUAUGGGUAGCAAAGACAACCAAAACACUUCAGGAAUGUGUAAUCUGGUUUGUGUUUGAAAAGUUUCUCAUAAGGAGACAAGAAUUUCAUAACAGGGGUAGGUAAUCUAUUAAUAUGAUACACUGCUGUAUGAACAGCUUCCCACCAGAAUUGAAGAGGAAGGUUUGCUUGAGCCAUGAGGGUUAAGCCUAACUCAACUAUAUGCCUGUGUUUCCUCUCAACAAGACCAUUAUGGUGAUGAGUGUAAGGACAUGAGUGUCUAAACAUUAUUCCAUUUUGAUUCAGAAAAUCCGUAAAUGCUCUAAACUCUCCCCCAAGAUCAGAUUGUAGCUUCUUAAUUUUGGUAUUAAACUGAUUCUCAACUUGAGUUUUGAACAAUUUAAAAACUUCAAAUGCUUGUGAUUUGAGCUUAAGAGGAUAGAUCCAAGAGUAUCUAGUAUAAUCAUCCACAAAACUAAUGUAGUAUUUGUAUCCAUCUCUAGACACAGUAGGUGAAGGCCCCCAAAGAUCAGUAUGAAUCAAUUCUAAUACCCCUUUUGUUUUUGUUUCAGUUAUUGAGAAAUGUUGCUUAUGGACUUUGCCUAGCUGACAUGCUUCACAUAAAGUAUUUGCAGAAGAUAACAUGUCUUUUGGAGAGACUUUAAACUGUUUACAUGAUUUGAGCAAAUGUACCAGUGUCAUUGAACUUGGAUGACCAAACUUUCUAUGUAACAAAGUUAUCAUAUCAGGUUUGACAUUACACUUAUUUAAAACAGACUGAUAGCAAGCUCGAGUACUGUUAUCACAGUGUUUGAAAGUAGAUAACAUAGAAACUGGUGGUAGAACUCCUUUCUUUGGCAGAGGAAAUAUGAAUUACUCUCCAAGAAUGUUUAAUGGAGGGGUUAGAAAUGGAUAUGGCAGAGGAUUUUUUCCUGGAAAUAACUCAGCUGAUUUCAAUCAUUUUUCAGUUCCUAGGUACUGGAUCCUUUGUUCUAGAUCAUACAAGUUUUAUUUCUCUUUCUUUAUGGAGUGAAAUAUUGUGUGUAUGUAUUUCUUCUAUAACAAAAUUUGUUUUCGGACAAAUUGCGUUCUUCUGUGCUAGAGAAAGCGAGUUCUACCACCAGAAUAACCUCCUCGUUUAAAACUUCCUCUAGGCUGUGCAAAAUAAGCUCUAGGAUAAUAUGCAUUCGUAUAUGCAUAGUUUGCAUUAAACAUACUUCUGUCACCUUGCUCCUGCUCUAAUCUAGUCUCAUGAGUGAGUAACAGUGCAUAAGCAUCAUCAAAUUCCAUUCGUGAACCAGUUAUAAAUGUAGCAAUAUCACGAAAUCCUGGUCCUAAUCCAUUAAGAAUAGUUAACAUAAGAUCCUUCUCUGUAAUUGAACUACCAGCACUAGCUAGCUUAUCAGCUAUUGCUUUCAUUUUAAUACAAUAAUCUUCAACACUAAGAGCUUCCUUUUUAAGAGUGUUUAGUUCAUAUCUGAGCUGAAGAACUCGAGCUUCAGAUUGAACUCUAAAUUUCUUUUCCAAAGUUUUCCAUAUAUCAAAUGAACUCUCACAAUUGAUAACAAGACCUAAGAUACCUUCACUUAAUGACGACAGUAGCCAGCCAAGAAGUGUCUGAUCCUGUGAUCUCCAGAUCUGAUAUUCUGGAUUUUCAAUUUGUUGUGUAGAUCCAUCUGCUUCAGUUAACAGAAGACACUUAUCAGGUACUGAUUUGACUCCUGUGACGAAAUCUUCCAAACGAUUGCCUCUUAUUGAAGCUAAAACUUGAGAGCGCCAGAGUAAGUAAUUUGAUCGAUCUAGCUUGAUAGGAUUAGUAAAGGAGAAGUUGAUUUGAGUAGAUUGAUUUGUGUUGUUUGUUGUUUGAUUACGAAAGCUUGACUGUUGAUUACUGGAACUAGCUCUGUAUGGCUCUGAUACCAUGUUUGAAAGCUUAAAAGAACAGACUGUUUGGUUACUGAGAAAAGAAAAAAAAAUGUAUUUAAGGUGCUAAGAAAAUUUGUAAAAGACUUAUGAAUCAAAUGCUUUAUUUCAUUUUUACUUAAUAAUAAAAUGAUUACAAGAUGCUUGUAUUUAUACUCAGCUGUUUACAGCUUAACAGAAAAUAAAGAAGCUAACUGAAUAUGAUCUCAACGUGUCUAACUAACUUCAGCUGAGCUGGCACUUCACUCUUCAAUUGAUUCACGAAAGUAUGAAUAGCUUACGAAGACUUUUCGACUACAACCAGAAAGUAGUGGAAGGAGGAGGAGACAUGGCAAAGAAUGUAAUUAAUAAGCUUUAAUUAAUUUAUUUAUUUAUUUUAUGAAUUACUCACUAAAGCCUUGAAGAAUUGUGUACUUGAAAAUUUUUCUUUCUCUUCCAAUUUCAAUAAAUCUAUUUAUACUAUGGUGCUAUUGCUAUGAUUCACGCUUCGGGCCUGUUUGAAAUUAUUUUUGAAAGAUUUAAAAGUGAUUUUAAAAAAAUUAAAAGUCGAUUUUAGUAUUUGAUAAACUUUCAAUAGGAUCAUUUUAUCCUAUAACAAAUUUUAAAAAAUGAAAAAGAGUAGUUUUUCAAAAUUUGAUUUUGAUAAUUCAUUUCAUAAUAUAUAUUAUAAAAAUCUAAAAUUAUCUUUUAUUCAAUUAAGAAAUAAAAUCAUUACAUUUAAAGAAAUUAUUAUUAUUUCCAAUUAUAUUGAGGUAAUAAAAUAAAUACAAUUAACUUGUUUUAAUUAUCAAUUAUUCUUUAUGCAAAUAAAAUAUUAUUAUAAAACAAGUGCAUAUAUAAAUAAUUUUUUUAAUUUAUGUCUAUUUAGGUCAUUUUAAUUCUUACAACAUUUUAAAAAUGAGAUUUACCAAACACUUUUAAAAAUAAAAUUUACUAAAUAUUUAACUAAUUUUUUUUACAACUGUUAUUUCUAUAACACAACUAAUAGAAAUUAUUCUAAAAAUUAUAACAUUACCAAACUAGCCGUUAAUCUAAAAACGCUUCGCAUAUAAUUGUUUGCCAAAGGCAUUAGUGAAUCACUUUGUGGCUGAUCGAACAUCAAUUAAUACAUAAAUCAUUGAGAUGAGUGGCACAUCAAUCAUAUACUACUACUUAAAGUCAUUCAACUUUGGUUCUCAUAUCCUCGUAACAGUGCUUGAGAAAAUAACUAAGGAGGAUGAAAAGACAGAGUGGCACCAGCUCUCUAUGUUCACAGUUUUGCUAAAAGUGCAUUUUGGCAAUGGCAUAAAAGUAACCAGUUUUAUCAAGUCGAAAAGCCAUUUUCUUUUGGCGUAGUUAGUUACUACCACAUCAUCCAAGAAUUUAUACAAGCCGAAUCUAAAAUUUGUGGCGUUUGUGGUUCAAAACUAUCAAAAAUUUCUUCUCAAGAGUUUCCAAUUUUGCGAUUUACUUUCAAAGUAUCACAGUAUGAAUAAAUGUCGAACACAGAAAUUCACCUGUCUUGAUAAGUCGAUUAUAUUUUCAGAAAUCCCUUACGGCUCACUCAGCUCCAGAAUCUGCAAAUAUAUCAACAUAUUAUUUAAAUGCAGACAGUUUGCAAAGAUCCUAAGUUCAUUUCUUCACAAAUCUUAAAUUUCCUUUUAUACGCCUAUUAUUAUUCUUCCUGUUUACACUGAUCACUAACUUACAAUCAAAUUCAAAUCAUUCAAUCUUACAAAAUUUUCUGUAGGAGUGAUUUAAUCUCUGUACUCUCUAGAUUCCAUCUGUAAUCAAUUUGUUCAAUAAAGCGUCAAGUACCUUGUUACCGAACCUCGUUACUUUGUUGCGUGUUGGUUCAUUGAUUUCUUCUUCUUUGUUCUUGGUUCUUUUCACCAGAGUUAUUUGAUUCUUCAAUUGUACUUGGUUGUUUGAGUUUGGUAACUGCUCUGAUUUCAUAACAAUAUUAUCUUUAUUUGUUUACGAAUUAUUAUCUUUAAAGCGUAGCUCAAAAAAAUCAACAUUAACAAUAAAUUUACAAUUGCCUAAGGGUAUUACGUUUGAAAAAAUUAUACUCGAUAAUGGAUAAAGCUAAAUAAAUAUCCCUAUUUUUAGAUAUUACAAAAAUUGAACGUAUUUAAGAUUUUUAAAUUAAAAAUAGUUUUCAAGCAUCAUAUAUAUCAAAUGUACACUGAAAUACCAGAAAUAUUAAAAACACAAUUCAAUUUUAAAUUAUAUUUCAAUUUUUAUUAACUCUUUUUAAAUCCUGACUAAUUUCUCAUGCCAACUGUUCUAGCUUUGUUGUCUAAGACCUGUAUGAGAAUGAAGAGACUUUAAGGUUUUGAACUAAUUCUAUAGACCUUCAAGUAAAAUGGAAAUUUUUUUGCUUCCGUUUUAUGUUUCUUGUGGCCUGGUUCGUUGUGGAUGGGAUACAAAUAAUCUUUAAGCCACGGAAAUUAAAAUUGAUCGAUCAAGAUGUUGAAGUGUAACAAUCGAUUCUUUAAUACACAAGUCUUCUGCCCUUGUCUUCACGUACGUCUUGUCGAUCUAACAAAGCCAAUUAUUCGGUGACGGCCACACUAGGGAACUUGACUAAUUGACUUGCACUAACAAGUCAUCAAUAAGUCCAUUAACGACUUCGUCUUUGAGUGCUUGCUUUUCCGGAUACCACCACAUACUCAUACAUCCUAGCUUCAAGAUAAAACAAACUUCUCCAUUUCCACACAAAAUGAUUCCACACUUGGAUAAAUCAGAACAUAGCAAUAAUUCAUUUGCAAUAAUUGAAAGUUGCCUAUAUAAAGCAUCGCAGCUUCACUACCAUUAUGCGCGCCAUAAAAGCAAAAUACCAUAAAGACACAUUUUAGAUCAAUUCCUGGGGAGACAAAUUAUGGGGUUAUCAUUACGUUUCUUUACCUUUAUGCACUUAGUUUCUUCCUUGUUAAUAUUUCACCUUGCAAUUGCUCACUUCACUUCUUCCAUGCAGCCACACACACUCUGCCAUGAUCAAGAUCGUUCUGCCCUGUUGAAAUUCAUCGAAAGCCUUACCAUUAAUAGGUAUGCUCCUAGAAAUCCUUUGUCUUAUCCCAAGGUUGCAUCCUGGAAUCAGGAUGAACAAAAUAGUGACUGCUGCUCUUGGGAUGGCAUAAAAUGCGAUGAGGACACUGGUCAUGUGAUCAGCCUUAACCUCAGUAGCAGUUGGCUCUAUGGCUCCAUCAACUCUAGCAGCAGUCUCUUUCAGCUUGUUCAUCUUGAAUGGCUUGCUCUCGCAGAUAACCAUUUUCAUUUCUCUGUAAUCCCCUCUGAAAUCGUCAACCUUUCGAGGCUGACACGUAUAUCUCUCUCUGGUUCUUUUUUUGCUGGUCAAAUACCUGCAGAAUUGCUAGAACUCUCGAGGUUGGAGGUUCUUGAUCUAUCAUCAAAUGACCAUCAUCUGAAACUCCAAAGUCCUGGUCUAGCAAAUCUAGCUGAAAAGUUAACCAACCUCAAACGACUUAACCUUACCGAUGUCAAUAUUUCUUCUGCAGUUCCUCCUACAUUCGCAAAUUUGUCUUCUUUAAUUUCCUUAUCUCUAAGUGAAUCCUUUUUGCACGGUGAAAUCCCUACAGAGAUUUUUCAAUUGCCCAACCUUCGAUUACUUGAGCUCGCGUACAAUUCAAAUCUCACAGGACAUCUACCAGAAUUUCAGAAAAGCAAUUCCCUUGAGCUUUUGAAUGUUGCAUUCUCGGGAUUUUCUGGUAAGAUUCCGAAUUCAAUAGACAAUCUUAAAUCAUUAUCUCACUUGUAUUUGCCACGCUGCUACUUUUCUGGAAAAAUCCCCCCUUCACUUGGUAAUCUUACCAAGCUCGCUCAUUUGUUCCUUUGGGGUAAUGGAUUUUCGGGAGAGUUGCCUACUUCCAUUGGAAAUCUAGCUUCUUUGGAAAUUCUAGCUAUCAGUUCAUGCAAUUUCUCAGGUGAAGUUCCAGCUUCGUCACUUCGUAAUCUAACCCAGCUUACAUGGAAUAAAGUAUAAAUUUAAUCCAAUACGGUUGCGUUUAUUUCUCGAAUUGAAUUGAAAAUCUUGAGGAUUGAAAUUCUAGGAUUGGAAGUGUGGAGUGAAAGUUAGAUGGGAUUGUUUAUUUACAUUGAAAUGAGAGUGUAGAAUGGAAAUUAGAAUUCUAUUUAUAAAUUUAUUUUGUCUUUAAUUAUAAGUUGUUUCAAAUUAUAAUUUUAUCCUUAAAAAAAAUUAAUUGAGCCUCUUAUACAUGAGAAUUUUGUAAAACUUCUCUUUUUUUUUAUUAAUAUAUUUUCAGAUUUAUAUAAAAUAAACUAUUUAUUUUUUAUUAAUUUUAACUAUACAAAUUAAUAAUAUUUAUUAAUAUUCUGAAUUAUGUAAAUCACUAUUUUUUAUUAAUUUUAAUUAUGUAAAUUAAAAAUUAUUGAUAAGAGCAACAAAAAUUAUUAUUAAUAAAAUAGUACAAAAUUAAUAUUUUCUAAGAAUAAACUAUUUAUUAUUUAUUAUUGGCAUUAAAUAAAUAUAAUACUAUUAAAAUUAAAUAAAUAUAUAGUAAUAUUAUUAAUUCUCUAUGAAUAUAAUAAUAUUAUUUUAAAACAAUUUUAACUUAGAUGAAAUAAAUUAUUAUUUUUAACUAAAUAUAAUAAUAUUAUAUCUAAAUAAGCUUAAUAUUAUUAUUUUUAAUAAUUGGGACAAAUAAUUUUUCAUCCCUAAGUUCUCGUUCAUUGUCUUGGAUCGCUGAUCUAAAGAAACUCACUAUUUUAGACCUUGUGUUAAGAUAGUCAAAUUGAUUAGUCACGUGCUAGUUAAUAUAGUUAGUUAAAUAGAAUCUGUUAUACAUGAUGACAUGGCUGCUUAUGUGGUAAAUUAGUUUUAGUUACUAGCUCAGCUGAUUUGCAUGUAAACAGAAUGAAGAAUAUUCCAGAUUGUAGUAUAUAAACAUGUGUAACUAAUCAAACGAUUUAAUGAAUAAGAAUCAAGUUCUUUCUUCUCUGCUUCUCUGAUUUUUCCUUUUCAUUUUCUUAGUAAACAAACAAACUCAUCUUUCUUAAUUUGGUAUCAGAGCCACGAUCUAAUGGCUGCUUUUAACUCAAAUCAAAACACAACAUCCUCAUUUACAUUCACCUCACUAGUUAAACUUGAUAGAACAAAUUAUACAAUCUGGAAGUCUCAAAUUCUCACUUCAGUUCGUGCUAAUGGCCUUGAAGAUUUUCUCGACAACUCAAAACUUUGUCCAGAACAAUUCUCAUCUGAUGGAGUUAUAAAUUCUGAUUCUGAUGCAACUGAGAUCACUACUGCUGAAGGAGUUCGAGAGAAUCCAGCCUUUGUUAUCUGGAAACGAAAAGAUCAGAUGCUGCUGAGCUGGCUGAUGUCCUCUAUCAGUCUAGAGAUUCUCAGUUUGGUGGUAAAUUCUAAAACCUCACUUGAACUCUGGAUUAGUCUUGAACAACAGUUUGGAUCUGAAACCUUUGCUAAAAAGGUACAUCUGAAAAUUAUGCUUAACAAUCUUAGAAAAGGAGCUAUGUCCAUGACUGAAUUUUUUGGAAAACUAAAGACAGUUACUGAUGAACUUGCUGUGGCUGGUAGUUCUGUUAGCUCACUAGAUUUUCUUACUCAUUUGAUCAGUGGAUUAGGCCAGCCUUAUUACCCUGUGGUAGUAUACAUUGAGGCAAAUCUUGCCAAGAUGUCUGUAAAUGAAGCUUAUUCUAUACUUCUGACUCAUGAGGCUAGGUUAGAGGCUAAUCAAUUGAACUCUAGUAAAGAAGCUAAAGUGAAUUUUGCAGCUAAUGUUGCUCAAACUGGACAGAAUACUAAAUCUGGACAGUAUAAUGCUAAUUGGAACAAAAAUCAAAAUGGUAAUGGUAAUGGAGGCAGAUGAGGUUUUGGUAGAGGUUUUUCACAAGGCCAAGCAAGAGGAAAUUGGAAUAAUGGCUGGAAUAGAGCAUCACCUAGUAACUAUCAAGGUAGAGGUGGUUUUGGUUUUGGAAAUGGAAAUUUUGCAAAACCUGGUGGUUUUCACAAUAGUAAUAGGAGAGGUAGUUCUGAUCUUAACUCUGUUGGAGUAAUUUGUCAGAUCUGUUUCAAACCUAAGCAUACUGCAGCUGAGUGUAGAAAUAGGUUCAAUAGAGAGUUCAUACCUUUCAACUCAUCAUCAGGAUAUAACUCAUAUCAAUAUCCAGUGCCAAGGCCUGCAUAUGCUAACUCAGCACCUAGAGCUGCUUUUAUGGCUGCUUCUGAAGGUGAUUUUGCUGAUCAAGGGUGGUACAUAGACAGUGGUGCAACUCAUCACCUCACCAACAAUCUACAGAAUCUGAGUCUUGCAAAUGAAUACUCAAGUAAUCACUUGCUGCAUGUUGGUAAUGGUCAAGGGCUGCAUAUAUCACAUGUUGGUUACACUGAUCUUCAUACAUCAUUAGACUCAAUCUUACACUUAAAAGAUAUUUUGUUUGUUCCUCAUCUUACCAAAAAUCUUAUAAGCAUCUCAAAGUUACUUGAAGACAACAACUUAACCAUUGAAUUUGUUGCCAAUAUGUGUUUUAUUAAGGACCAGAAGAAGGGAGUGCAUCUUGCUCAAGGGAUUGUUAGAGGAGGGCUAUAUCAGUUACUGUCAAAAAAGGAUUUCAUUUCCAGUUCUCACAGUCAUUCUCAGAUUCCUAGUUCCAUGCUUUAUGUUUUGAAUAAUUCAGCUUGUAAUCUCUUAGAUGAAGCUACAAAUAAAACUUGUACAAAUAAUAUUUUGUCUGCAAAUUUGUUACAUCAAAGGUUUGGUCAUCCCAGCAAACAUGUGUUGAAAUGUAUUCUAUCUUCUCUUUCUCUUCCUUGUCCAACAUCAAUGCCUGAUUUUUGUGAUGCUUGUCAAUAUGGUAAAAUCCAUCAGUUCCCCUUUUACUCAACAAGAAUAAAAACAAAAGCUCCUUUAGAGCUAGUCCAUACUGAUCUCUGGGGUCCAACACCCAUUCCUUCACUACAGGGCUAUAGAUACUACAUAAGUUUUGUAGAUGAUUAUAGUAGGUAUUGUUGGAUUUUUCCUUUAACCCUCAAAUCAGAAGCCUUAGCUACUUUCAAACACUUCAAAACUCUUGUUGAGAAACAAUUUGAUCAUCCUUUAAAGUCACUACAAUCUGAUUAGGGAGGUGAAUACAUAAAUUUUGUACAUUUUCUUCAAGAAGAAGGCAUAGAGUUUAGACAUAGUUGCCCUCAUACACAUCACCAAAAUGGUGUGGUAGAGAGAAAGCAUCGCCAUAUUAUAGAAACAGGGCUAACUUUACUUGCUCAGGCAAAAAUGCCCUUAUCUUUUUUGUGGGAAUCCUUUUAUACAGCUUCUUUUCUUAUCAAUAGGCUGCCAACACCUGUUUUGAAUAAUACCUCUCCUUAUACCAAGCUCUAUGGCAGAAAGCCUGAUUAUCAUUUUCUCAAAACCUUUGGCUGUUCAUGCUUUCCUUUUCUCAGACCUUACAGUCAACACAAGUUUAACUUUCAUACACAAAAAUCUCUCAUGAUUGGUUAUAGUCCUCUUCACAAAGGCUAUAAGUGUCUUGAUCCCACUGGCAAAACUUAUAUUGCCAGACAUGUCAAGUUUAAUGAAUCUGAAUUUCCAUAUUCAAAUCUUUUUCCUUCAUCAGAUCCAAAAGUGUCCUCGGUUCAGCAAAGUCAUUUCUCUAAUCCAUUCAUUACUUCCACAAUCCUACUCACUGAUAGUAACUGUGCACAGUCUUCUCUCAAUCCUCCAGCUCAAGAUGCAGGCCCUGAUUCAGGUAUCUUACAGACACUCUCUUCGUCUCAUUCUUCAGACACUUCUUCAUACAGUACACCACAUCAACCAUCUUCUUCUGUUCAGUUGCCAUCAAUAUCCACUCUUGCACCUCAACCAGCUCAAAAUAUUCAUCCCAUGCUCACUAGAUCCAAAGCUGGUGUAUUUAAGCCUAAAACUUACCUGGCUGUUACUCAGCACCUUGAACCACAUUCAGUUAAAGCAGCAUUGGUUGACAUCAAAUGGAGACAAGCUAUGCAGGCUGAGUUUGAUGCCUUGCAGAAAAAUAGCACCUGGUGUUUAGUUCCUAGAGAAAAAGCUGGGAAAAUUGUAGGCAACAAAUGGGUUUUCAGGGUGAAGUAUAAUCCUGAUGGUAGUAUAUCCAAGUAUAAAGUAAGGCUGGUGGCCAAAAGCUUCCAUCAAACACAAGGAGUAGAUUUCUUUGAAACAUUCAGUCCGGUUGUAAAUCUGAUACUUCAUUGUUCAUUUUUCACAAAGCUGGACAUUAAUAAUGCUUUUCUUAAUGGCCUAUUCAACAGCUGGACAUUAAUAAUGCUUUUCUUAAUGGCAUCCUUACUGAAGAAGUCUUUAUGCAUCAGCCUGAAGGUUUCAUUCAUCCUCAAUUUCUAUCUCAUGUCUGCAAGCUUACCAAAGCUCUCUAUGGUCUUAAGCAAGCUCCAAGAGCUUGGUAUGACAGAUUGAAAUGUUCUUUGUUGAAUUGGGGUUUCAUUGCUUCAAAAUCUGAUACUUCAUUGUUCAUUUUUCACAAAGCAGGAGAUAUAGUUGUUAUUUUAGUUUAUGUAGAUGACAUAUUAGUGACUGGCUCUAAUGAUCAGCUUGUUGAAAAAGUUAUUCAUCAUUUAAGCUCAGACUUUGUUUUUAAGGAUCUUGGGGAAUUCAACUACUUUCUUGGUCUUGAGGUUACACCUUCAGUUGAAGGUUUGCAUAUUUCUCAAACAAAAUAUGUAGGUGAUAUUCUCAAGAAAGCACAGAUGAUUGAGAGCAAAGGUUGUUCCACUCCCAUGAGUUCUACAGAGAAGCUAGUCAAAGACAAGGGUGUUGCUUUUGAAAAUCCCUCUCUCUAUAGAAGUAUAGUUGGCUCAUUACAGUAUCUUACCCUUACUAGACUUGAGAUUGCCUUCACAGUGAAUAAGCUGAGUCAGUUUCUUGCCAAUCCAUCAGUGCUUCAUUGGCAAGCAUGUAAACGAGUUCUGAGAUAUUUACAAUGUACAACUAACCUUGGUUUACAGUUUUAUGCCUCUAGUUCACUCACACUUUCAGCUUUCUCAGAUGCUGAUUGGGGCUUAGAUUUAGAUGACAGAAAGUCAAUUGGGGGAUAUUGCAUUUAUCUGGGGAAUAAUCUGGUCUCAUGGUCAUCUAAGAAACAACCUAUAGUUUCAAGAAGCACAGCUGAGUCAGAAUACAGAGCAUUAACAUUGGCUGUCUCUGAAACUUUGUGGAUCACUUACUUGCUGCAAGAGUUGAAAGUAACUCUAGCACAAACUCCAGUUAUCUACUGUGAUAACAAGAGUGCAGAAGCUUUAGCAAGCAAUCCCAAGUAUCACUCCAGAACCAAACAUAUUGAGUUAGAUUUACACUUCAUUCGGGAUCAUAUAGCUCAGAAAGAACUGCAGAUUAGUCAUGUUCCCAGCUAUGAUCAAGUGGCAGACAUUUUUACAAAACCUUUAGCUUUUGAUCAAUUUAACUAUCUAAGGUCCAAGCUCAAUGUCCUUUCACGACCUUGAGCUUGAAGGAGGCUGUUAAGAUAGUCAAAUUGAUUAGUCACGUGCUAGUUAAUAUAGUUAGUUAAAUAGAAUCUGUUAUACAUGAUGACGUGGCUGCUUAUGUGGCAAAUUAGUUUUAGUUACUAGCUCAGCUGAUUUGCAUGUAAAUAGAAUGAAGAAUAUUCCAGAUUGUAGUAUAUAAACAUGUGUAACUAAUCAAACGAUUUAAUGAAUAAGAUUCAAGUUCUUUCUUCUCUGGUUCUCUGAUUUUUCCUUUUCAUUUUCUUAGUAAACAAACAAACUCAUCUUUCUUAAUUCCUUGAAUCCAGCAAAUUAGUUGGUGAGGUCCCUCAUGUGCUCAUGAACCUAACACAACUUACUCAGUUAUCUCUAGCUUUUAAUCACCAAUUAACUGGUCCGAUUCCAUAUUGACUGAUGAACCUAAACGAACUAUCCCUUCUCAGCUUCAGAGGUAGCAAAUUGAGUGGCCAUAUCCCCAUUGAAAUUUCGAACCUAACCCAAUUGCAGAAACUGUAUUUUGCAGGGAAACAAUUGGAAGGUUCUAUUCCUAGCUCGUUCUUUGAGCUCAAGAAUCUUGUGGAGCUUGAACUCGCCGGCAACAAAUUGAGUGGCACAUUGGAUAUAAACAAGUUCCUACUUAACAUGAAAAGUUUAGAAGUGUUAGUUCUCUCGUCAAACAAAUUGUCACUGCUCACCGAUACCACUGUGAAUACCUAUUCCAAGAACUUCAGUGUUAUAGGCUUACGUUCAUGCAACCUUAGUGAGUUCCCACAUUUUCUGUACAACCCAAAACUCCUGGAUUCCUUGGAUCUUUCAUCCAACAGGAUAGCUGGGUCAGNNNNNNNNNNNNNNNNNNNNNNNNNNNNNNNNNNNNNNNNNNNNNNNNNNNNNNNNNNNNNNNNNNNNNNNNNNNNNNNNNNNNNNNNNNNNNNNNNNNNNNNNNNNNNNNNNNNNNNNNNNNNNNNNNNNNNNNNNNNNNNNNNNNNNNNNNNNNNNNNNNNNNNNNNNNNNNNNNNNNNNNNNNNNNNNNNNNNNNNNNNNNNNNNNNNNNNNNNNNNNNNNNNNNNNNNNNNNNNNNNNNNNNNNNNNNNNNNNNNNNNNNNNNNNNNNNNNNNNNNNNNNNNNNNNNNNNNNNNNNNNNNNNNNNNNNNNNNNNNNNNNNNNNNNNNNNNNNNNNNNNNNNNNNNNNNNNNNNNNNNNNNNNNNNNNNNNNNNNNNNNNNNNNNNNNNNNNNNNNNNNNNNNNNNNNNNNNNNNNNNNNNNNNNNNNNNNNNNNNNNNNNNNNNNNNNNNNNNNNNNNNNNNNNNNNNNNNNNNNNNNNNNNNNNNNNNNNNNNNNNNNNNNNNNNNNNNNNNNNNNNNNNNNNNNNNNNNNNNNNNNNNNNNNNNNNNNNNNNNNNNNNNNNNNNNNNNNNNNNNNNNNNNNNNNNNNNNNNNNNNNNNNNNNNNNNNNNNNNNNNNNUGUUGAAACGUAAAAAUAUAGUAAACAUGAGUGUUGCUUAUUUUAGCCUCUGUUUGAUAAAAUUUCUCAAGUAGAAAUUAUUUAAUUAGAGCUUUUACAUUACCAAAAGAAAAAAGUACUUACCAAAAAUAUUUGAGUUGUUUGGUUGUCAAAGAGAGAUGUUAUAAAAAAAUAUACAAUUACUUUAAUAGAUAAGUUUUUUAAAAUUAUGUUAUGAAAGGAUGAAAUAAGAUUAUUAAAUAAAUUAAGGAUACUUUAGAUAGUUUAACUCUUUAAAAAAAAUAAUUUACAACCUCUACUUCCAAAAUCAUAAAAUUUAAACUUUUAUUAAUGGAGGCAAAAUAGAUUAUCUCCAAAAUCUCUACUCAAAAUAUAACUAAACAAUACUAAAUUAAAAAAUAUAUAUAGAAUUAAAUGAAUACUUUUGACUAUUGGAUAAGUCAAAUGAAACAAAAAUAUGUACUGCUUUUUCAGAGCAGCGCCAGCUUUCAAAGCUUAGGCAAAUGGGUGAAGUUUUAAGUUUCAACCCCAAUCAUUAAGUUGAUGUAGUUAAGAUCAAUGUUUGACUCUCCAUUACCAAAAUCACAUUUUAUCAAUGCAUGCAAUAGUAGUGCAUCCAGUUGUCUUUGUAAUUCUUAAUAUUUUCUAAGAAAUUUAGCAGCCUUAAUUUAAACUAAAACUGUCGUGAUUUCGGAUAAUUUCUGGUUAACAUUAUGGACGAGUGGAAGUACCACAGUAAGAGUAUGUGAUCAACUUCAUAAUUUGUCUCCAGGUCUUACUUAUUACUUAAUUCUGGCGCACGCCAUUGACAAUUAAAAUUAAAGAAUCCAUGUGGUCAGGGGUCAGGGAUAAUCAUAAUUCAGUGUAGACAAAAAGCAUGGUUAAUAGCCAGCAAGGGAGAAAGGCUAGAUUGGUUUUCUUUUUCUUUUUUCUUUUAAAUGUAAUCUUUCAAUUUUAUCCUCCAUAAUAAUAUAUCUAUAUAAUUUUUUCGAAAAUUAUCUCUACCCCACUUUUGUUUUGUCAUAUGUAUAAUCUCAUCACCUCAAAAUUUUGCCAUAUUCUUCACACCACCUUUAUUUUUAAGUUUUUUUCAAUAAACUACUUUGACACUAUAAAAUGAUCAUUUUACCCUUAAAUGAAUGAAACAACUAUUUUAUUAUACAAAAUUUUAAAAAAUAAAAAAAAAUAUAAUUACAAGAAUACCCCUGAAUUUAAUAAAAUAAAUCUCAAAUCUAAUAUGUUAAUUUUUUUAUAAUUACAAUUUCAUUUAAAAAUUAUCAUGUUAAUUUUUUGUAAUUAUAAUUUCAUUCAAUUUCUAUAGAGAAGUUUCUUAAUAUUAAUUAUAGGGAAGUUUAUAAUAAUUAUAGGGAGUUUUUCUCUCCAUGUUAAUUUUGGUAAACUUCCCUAUACCUAAUUUAAUUAUAAAAAUUAAAUGAAAUUAUAAUUACAAAAAAUUAUGAUUGCAAGGUGUUAAUUUUUUAUAAUUAUAAUUUCAUUUAAAAAUUAUCAUCUAAGAUUUUGAGAUUUGUUUGUUUUAUUGAAUUUAGAGGUAUUCCUAUAGAUAUACUUUUUUAUUUUUUAAAAUUUUCUCGAAUAAAAUAAUCUUUUAAUUCAUUUAGGGGUAAAAUGAUUUUUUUUAGUGUAAAAGUGAUCAAUUGAUAUAAGUUUAGAAAUAAGAUAGUGAAAAAAAUAAUUUAAAAUUUUUUAAUGAUUAAAUAUACAUACGACAAAAUAAAAGUGGUUCAAAGAUAAUUUUCGUAACUUUUUUUUCUUAAUUUAUAUGAUGUUCUGGACCAAGCGCUUGUUUUCAUGUGUUUGUACAAAUCGAUUUUGCCAAAUUCACCGAAUUAUACUAACAAAAAAGGACCAUUUUCGUGACUAGCUUUAUUUUGAACCCAUGACAAUGGCUCUCUAUUCCAACUCCCGCAUCCACAAACCAUCGUUUUUUUUUUUUUUUGUUCUUCCAAAUCUCUAGAUACAACUCAUAGAAAGAACCUAAAAUUUACAUAAAAGAACGACAUGUGGUUGAUAGAUGCCCAGCACAAUCCCAUAUUUAAUUUUCUUAAGCAACCUUUGUACGUAUAAUAAUUUUGUUCCAACCAAGUUUGGGGGUGAAUUCUCAAAAGCCAUUUGGGUUGAUGCUAUCUCCUCUUGAUAGUAUAGACAAAAGCAUGGUCAAUAGCCGAAUAGGAAGCAUACGACACUCAGAAAGAACUUAAAAUUUUUUAAUCCUAAAAGAAGAUUUGAUUGUGAAUUAAUCCCAGUAACAUCACAUUUGGCACCGCCUAUAAAAACAUCUCAAUUCUAUGCCUGACCCUCCAAACAAAAUCCUCCAGCCUUCCUAUUAUAGAAAGUUUUAAAAGGAAUUGUGUUUAAUAAGAAAUUAUGGGGUUAUUCUUAUUUUCCUUCACUUUAAUGCACAUACUUCUUCUGCUCUCAAUGUUUCAGCACACGCUUGCUGACUUGCAGCCACUCUGCCAGGAUGACGAGCGUUCUGCCUUGCAGUAAUUCAAGCAAAGCCUUACCGUCGUUCAGUGUUCUUUUGAUGAUUAUUCUUCAGCUUAUCCCAAGGUUGCAUCAUGGAGCCAGGAAGAAGAAAAUAGUGACUGCUGCUUAUGGGACGGCAUCAAAUGCAACGAAGACACUGGUCAUGUGAUCAGGCUUGAUCUCACAAGCAGUUGCCUCUAUGGUUCUAUCAACUCUAGCAGCAGCCUCUUUCAACUUUUCCAUCUGGAAUGGCUUGUUCUCUCGAAUAACCACUUCAAUUUUUCUAAAAUCCCUUCAAAAAUCAAGAAUCUGUCAAGACUAACAGCUCUAUCUCUCUAAUUCUUCGUUUUCUGGUCAAAUACCAGCAGAGUUGCUGGAGCUCUCCAAGUUGGAGAGUCUUGAUCUUGUUAGAGAUAUAAAUGCAAAGAAUAUUCCCGUGAUGGUUCUGCUGAUGUGGCAGUUGAGUAAGCAAGGUUGUUAUUGUUACUUUGUAAGUUUGUUAUAGAGCUGGGAAAAUUAGUUAAUUACAGCUUAUUCUUUACACGUGUGUGAGCAAAUGUAGAAGGUUCUGGAUCUCAGUAUAUAAGCUCACUUUCUGUACUCAUAAUAAGUUGAAUAAGAUUUGAUCUGUUUUCUUAUAUUUUCUCUUAAUGCUCAUUAAAUUUUCCAUCACUUUCUCUGCAACCAAACAAGCACAAAUAGCUUGAUUAAACUUCAAUUUGGUAUCAGAGCUAGAUUUAGUCUAAUCUCAUGGCGUUAUCAAGCUUGAACACAAACAUCUCUUCUUCGGCAACAACCUUUACCUUCACAACUCCAAUAAAACUUGACCGAUCAAAUUACUUAAUCUGGAAAUCUCAAAUCCUAUCUUCAGUUCGAGCAAAUGAACUUGAGAGUGUGCUUGAUGGAUCCAGAAUCUGUCCAGAUCAAUUUCUCUCAAGCACUCAAGGAAAUUCAGAUGCUAUCUUCAAUGCUUUUGUAAGUUCAACUGUUGCUUCACGAGAGAAUCCUGAGUUUACUGUGUGGAGAAAGCAAGAUCAGAUGUUACUGAGCUGGCUAUUAUCCUCUAUCAGCAUUGAAAUCCUCAGUCUUGUGGUAAACUCUAAAACUUCUUAUGAAAUGUGGUCUAGUUUAGAGCAACAAUUUGGAUCUGAAACUGCUGCUAAGAAAGUUCAUCUCAAAAUGAUGUUGAAUAAUCUGAAGAAAGGAUCUAUGACUAUGACAGAAUAUUUUAGUAAGUUGAAGUCAGUUACUGAUGAGCUUGCUAUUGCUGGAAGUCCUAUUAGUUCUUUGGAUUUUAUAACUAAUCUCAUCUCUGGAUUAGGUCAGCCUUAUUAUCCAGUAGUUGUGUAUAUUGAAGCAAAUGUUUUAAAAAUGAGUAUUAAUGAGGCUUAUUCAAUGUUGUUGACACAUGAGGCACGUUUAGAAAGUAAUCAAUCUAAUGCUUUCAAGGAAGUGAAACAGAACUAUGCUGCUAACUUAGCUUAGGCUGGAAACAAUCAAAAGAAAAUUAAUAAUCAGGGAGGCUAGAAUAACAAUAAUCAAGGAGGCUGGAAUGGAAACACUGGAAACAAAACUAGAUUUAAUAAUUGGAAUGGAAAUUUUACAAACAGAGGAGGUUUCAAUCCAGGAAGGGGACAAAAUUCAGGCAGAGGACAAUGGAAUAAUAACUGGAAUGGAAAUCAAUGUAGAGGUAAUUUUGCUGGUGCUGCUGGAAAUUUUUCUGGUGGAUUUCCUGGUGGUUUUAAUGGAUUUGGAAGAGGAGGAGGCAAAGGAAGUAUUGUUUGUUAGAUUUGUUUCAAGCACAAUCAUACUGCAUCUGAUUGUAAAGACAGAUUUAACAGAAACUUUGUUCCAAAUUUUUCUGUGCAAGAGAAUUUUCCAGGUCAGAAUCAAACUUCCAAAGCUGCUUUCAUGGCUACAUUAGAAGGAGUUGCUGACCAAGGAUGGUAUCUGGAUAGUGGAGCAACACAUCAUCUUACAAACAAUGUGGAGAACUUAGCUGAAGGUAAACCUUAUUUUGGAUCUCAGUUGCUGUUAGUUGGUAAUGGACAAGGUCUUAGAAUCACUUACAUAGGCAAUAUAUGUCUCUUUACAUCCUUAGGUAAUCAGUUAAACCUUUCUAAUGUUCUGUGUGUUCCCAAAUUUACCAAAAAUCUCAUUAGCUUGUCUAAACUUCUCUCUGACAAUCAUAUAACCAUUGAAUUUGUUUCCAAUCUUUGUUUCAUUAAGGACAAGAUGCAAGAAACUUUGCUGGCACAUGGGAUUGCUGAAGAUGGUCUCUUUAAUCUACUGUCUCAAGAUACACCUAUUCCUGAUUCUAAAGCUUUGGGUUUAAAACCUAGUUCAAUGUUGUCUGUCUUUUCAAAUAAAAAGAUUGUACACUCUUUGAAAGAGUUGAAUAACCAAACAAAUGUCUGUUCCAAUUUGAUCAAUUCCAAUAAUGAGAAUUCUGUCAGUUUUUUAGCUUCCAGUAGUGAGUCUAUGCAGUUGUUGCACAAUAGGUUUGGUCAUCCAACCAAACAUGUUUUGCAAACAAUAAUGAAAAGUCUCCCCAUGCAUUCAAUCCAUUCUCAAUCUCUUAACUUUUGUGAUGCUUGUCAAUAUGGCAAAUUACAUCAAUUUCAUUUUCCAGUCACUGAUAUAAAAUUAAAAUUCCCUCUCCAACUCUUAUAUGCUGAUUUAAGGGGUCCAGCUUCUGUGUUGUCCAUGGAUGGAUACAAGUACUAUAUUUCUUUUGUUGAUGAUUUCACCAGAUAUUGUUGGAUAUUUCCACUCACACUCAAAUCUGAGGCAUUUGACACCUUCAAACACUUCAAGUCCCUUGUAGAAAAACAGUUUUCUUUAUCCAUCCAAACACUACAAACUGAUAUGGGGGGUGAGUUUAUAGCUUUCAAAUCAUUUCUACAACAAAAAGGUAUUCAGUUUAGAUAUAGUUUCCCCCAUACUCACCAUCAAAAUGGUGUGGUUGAAAGGAAGCAUAGGCAUAUUGUUGAAAUUGGACUUACACUCUUAGCUCAAGCUCACUUACCUCUCUCUUUUUGGUGGGAAGCUUUUCAUACAGCCACCUACUUAAUUAAUAGAAUGCCAACACCUGUUCUCAACAAUUUCUCUCCUUUUCAGAAACUAUACAAUCAGCUUCCAGAUUACAAAUUUCCUAAAGUGUUUGGUUGUUUAUGUUUUCCUUUUCUUCGACCUUAUAAUCAGCACAAGCUAGAUUUUCAUACUCAGAAAUGUGUCUUUAUUGGUUACAGUCCCAUUCAUAAGGGCUACAAGUGUCUUGAUCGAACUGAGAAAGUUUUUGUUGCCAGACAUGUUACUUUCAAUGAACAGGAAUUUCCAUAUUCUGAACUGUUUUUGAAAAACAAGUCAAACAUCUUCUCUCAUUCUGAUUUCUCCACUCCAUCUUCAGUUCAUUUUUCUCUUCCUCAAACACCUGUUCUCAGUAACAGUAGCAAUGAAGAGCCAUCAGCUACGUCUCCAGUCCUGCUUUGUCUUCUGCAUCAGAGUCUCAUUCCUUGCAAAAUUCUUUUCAUUCACAAUCCCUUGAUCUAUCUGCAAGACUUUCAAAUUCUUCUCCACCAGUACUCUCUACUCAUCAUAUGGGUUACCAGAUCUAAAGCUGGUAUCUACAAACCCAAAACCUAUCUAGCUGAUUCUCAAGACCUUGAAACCAUCCAAUGUCAAAACAGCAUUGGCAGAUCUUAGGUGGUACUCAGCUAUGAAAGAAGAAUUUGAAGCUCUCCAAAGAAAUCAAACUUGGUAAUUAGUGCCUCCAGAAACAGCUGGGAAAAUUGUUGGAGAUAAAUGGGUUUACAGAGUCAAGUAUAAUGUUGAUGGAAGUAUUUCCCGGUAUAUAGCUCGGUUGGUUGCCAAGGGAUAUCAUUAAACUUAUGGGGUUGAUUUCUUUGAGACCUUUAGCCCUGUGAUCAAGCCUUGUACUGUCAUAAUCAUUUUAAGCUUAGCAGUCAUGAAUCAUUGACCUAUUAAACAGCUGGAUGUAAAUAAUGCUUUUCUAAAUGGCAUUCUUGCUGAAGAUGUGUACAUGCAUCAAACACAAGGGUUUGUUGAUUCCACCUAUCAUUCUUAUGUUUGUAAGCUUAACAAGGCAUUAUAUGGUCUUAAACAGGCUCCCAGAGCCUGGUAUGACAGAUUAAAGGAGUCACUGGUUCAAUGGGGUUUUCAUGUCUCAAACUCUGACACUUCUCUAUUCAUUAAGCAUGCAGGGAAAGAUAUACUGCUCAUUCUCAUUUAUGUGGAUGAUAUUUUAGUCACAGGCUCAAAUUCGAAGCUCAUUGGCAAUGUUAUUCAGCAGUUACACUCAGAGUUUGCCUUGAAGGAUCUGGGGGAUUUUCAUUAUUUUCUUGGUAUAGAAGUUACUCCAUCUGUUCAAGGUAUUCAUCUCUCUCAAAAUAAAUAUAUUGGUGAUAUUCUUCAAAGGGAAAAUAUGCUAGACAGUAAAGGUUGUGCUACACCUAUGAGUACUUCUGAAAAACUGCACAAGGAUAAAGGUGCUGCAUUUGAAAAUCCAUCUUUAUACAGAAGUAUUGUGGGCUCUCUUCAAUAUGUUUUGUUAACUAGACCUGACUUAGCUUUCACAGUCAACAAGCUUAGUCAGUUUUUAUCAGCUCCCACCAUACUUCAUUGGCAAGCAUGCAAGAGGGUGUUGAGAUAUCUUCAAAGUAUAGCUGAUUAUGGUCUUCAGUUCUUCAACUUUGGUUCUUUAACUUUAAUAGCCUACUCUGAUGCUGAUUAGGGCUCAGAUCCUGAUGAUCGCAGAUCUGUUGGAGGUUAUUGUGUGUUUUUGGGUUCCAAUCUUAUCUCUUGGUCCUCUAAGAAGCAGCCCAUUGUGUCCAGAUCAUCAGCUGAGUCUGAAUAUCGGGCUCUUGCUUUGGCUACUUCAGAGGUUCUCUGGAUUACAUAUUUAUUUCAAGAGCUUAACAUAUCUUUUGAUCAGACUCCUCUUCUGCAUUGUGAUAACAAAAGUGCUAAACCUCUGGCUAGUAAUCCUAAAUAUCAUGCUCGUACUAAGCAUAUUGAGUUAGAUAUUCAUUUUCUCAGAGAGCAUAUUGCUCAACAGCAACUUUCAGUCACUUAUGUUCCGAGUUCAGAACAAUUAGCAGAUGUUCUUACUAAGCCCCUCUAUUUCGAUCAGUUUGCUUAUUUGCGCAGCAAGCUUAAUGUCAUUUCACGACAUCAAGCUUGAGGGGGGAUGUUAGAGAUAUAAAUGCAAAGAAUAUUCUUGUGAUGGUUCUGCUGAUGUGGCAGCUGAGUAAGCAAGGUUGUUAUUGUUAGUUUGUAAGUUUGUUAUAGAGCUAAGAAAAUUAGUUAAUCACAGCUUAUUCUUUACACGUGUGUGAGCAAAUGUAGAAGGUUCUGGAUCUCAGUAUAUAAGCUCACUUUCUGUACUCAUAAUAAGUUGAAUGAGAUUUGAUCUGUUUUUCUAAUAUUUUCUCUUAAUGCUCAUUAAAUUUUCCUUCACUUUCUCUGCAACCAAACAAGCACAAAUAGCUUGAUUAAACUUCAAUUGAUCUAUCAUUUAAUAAUUUUCAUUUGAAGCUCCAAAACCCGAGUCUAGCAAAUCUAGCAGAGAAGUUAGCCAACCUGAAAGUACUUCACCUUGGACAAGUCAAUAUUGCUUCUACAGUUCCUCAUGCAUUCGCAAAUCUAUCAUCUUUGUUUUUCUUAUCUCUCACUGAUUGCCUAUUGCAAGGUGAAUUCCCCGCAGAGAUUUUCCAGUUACCCAAACUUGCAUUUCUUACUCUGACGUAUAAUCACUAUCUCACUGGGUAUUUGCCAGAAUUUCAGAAUAGCAGUGUCAUCGUAGAUUUGAGGCUUUCACAUACGCGAUUUUCAGGUAAGAUUCCAGAUUCAGUAGAAAAUCUUGAAUCCUUAGAUUCCUUGGGUAUUAGAGGUUACUCAUUUUCAGGAAAACUUCCUCCUUGAGUUGGUAAUCUUACGAAGCUCAACCAUCUAUACCUUUCUGGUAAUGAUUUUUCGGGUGAGUUGCCUGCUUUCUUGGGAAAACUUUCUUCUUUGAAAAUGCUAGAGAUCAUUUUAUGCAACUUCUCUGGCAAAGUUCCGGAUUCACUUGGUAACCUUAUUUGUUGUCUUGGAUCCCUAAACUUAACCAACUCACUUAUUUGGACCUUUUAGGGAGCAAAAUAACUGGUGAGAUCUUAUGUCUGCUCUCGAAUUUUUCUGAACAAAACUCUUAUUCGUUGUCUUGCAUCCCUAAACUUAACCAACUCACUUAUUUGGACCUUUCAGGGAGCAAAAUAACUGGUGAGAUCUUAUGUCUGCUCUUGAAUCUAACAGAACUUGCUCAAAUAAGUUUGGCUCAUAACCAAUUAAUUGGUCCAAUCCCCUUUUGAUUUAUGAACCUGAACAAGUUAUCAACUAUGUACUUACAUUAUAAUCAACUGACUGGCCAUAUUCCAGUUGAAGUUAGAAAGCUAAACCAAUUGCAGAUCCUGCGUUUGGCGGAGAAUCAAUUGGAAGGCUCUGUUCCUAACUCUGUCUUUAAGCUAAGGAAUCUUCAAGCGCUUGACCUUUCCUACAACAUUUUGAGUGGCACAGUGGAUUUAAACAUGUUCCUUCUUAACUUGAAAUCUUUAACAUCAUUAGUUCUCUCGUCAAACAAGUUUUCAUUGCUCACUGGAACCAAUGACAGUACUAAUUUGCCAAAUUUCACUGUAAUAGGAUUCAGGUCAUGCAUCAUUAGCGAGUUCCCAUAUUUUUUGCACAACCAAGAUGAAUUAGUUUCUCUGGAUCUUUCCUCCAACAAGAUAGCUGGCCAAGUACCCCAAUGGUUGUUAAACGUAAGCACAAAGAGUUUGGAAUAUUUGAACUUUUCUGACAACCUAUUGUCGGGAUUCGGGCAGGAUCUCUUUGUUCUUCCAUUGUCUAAAAUGAAUACUUUAGACCUUGGGUUUAAUAAGCCCAAAGGACUGCUCCCAGUUCCGUCAUCAGUGUCAAUCUAUUCCUAUCUAGUUUCAAACAAUCAGUUGACCGGUGAAAUUCCAAUCCAAAUAUGUAGUUUGAAUGGUCUUCACGCUCUUGAUUUGUCGUACAACAACUUAAGUGGCAUGCUCCCAGAAUGUUUGGGUAAUUUCAGUGUUGAGUUGUCAGCACUAAAACUGCAAGCUAACAACUUUUAUGGAAUCAUCCCUCAAACCUUCAUGAACGGAACAAAUCUGAUGAUGAUUGAUUUUAGCAACAAUUCAUUGCAAGGAAGAGUACCUAAAUCUCUAGCCAAUUGUGUGAAGCUAAAAUUUCUUAAUCUUGGGGAUAACCAAAUCACCGAUGUCUUCCCUUCUUGGUUAGGAACUCUUCCAGAGCUGGAGGUUCUCAUUUUGAAAUUCAACAACUUUCAUGGAGAAAUAGAGGAACCUAAAACAGGUUUUGGGUUUCCCAAGCCGCGCAUCAUUGAUCUCUCUCACAACAGGUUUACAGGUAAUCUUCCGUCAAAGCACUUCCAUUGUUGGAAUGGCAUGAAAGAUAUCAAAGCAAGUAAGCUAACAUAUUUGCAGGUUAAACUCAUGCCGUAUGAUGUACUUGGGUUUACCUACUAUGGCUAUGCUGAUUACUCACUAAUAAUGAGUAACAAAGGGAUAGAGAUAGAAUAUCCCAAGCUGUCAAAUUUGAUCACAGCAAUUAUUCUCUCCGACAACAAUUUUGUUGGAGAGAUUCCAGCAUCAAUCGCCAGUUUAAAGGGGCUUCGGACUCUUAACCUUUCCAACAACAAUCUCUGAGGGUACAUUCCAUUAACUUGGAGUAACCUAACGGUCAUGGAGUCAUUAGACCUCUCUAGUAACUUGCUCACAGGACAAAUUCCUCAGCAACUAGUAGAGCUCACAUCCCUUGCAUUCUUUGAUGUGUCACACAACCAUCUUAAGGGAGCAAUACCACAAGGGACGCAGUUCAGCACAUUCACAAAUGAUUGGUUUGCUGGAAAUCCAGGAUUGUGUGGAGAACCUUUGUCUAGAAAAUGCAAAAACUUUGAGGCCUCACCAGCAAAAGAUGCUCCACCCUCAGAAUUUGUACUCGCAUUUGGCUGGAAGAUAGUUCUGGCAGGGUAUGCAAGUGGGACAAUAAUAGGAGUAGUACUUGUGCACAUCUUCUGCACAAGAAAGUAUAAAUGGCUUAUAAAGACUUUUCGACUGCAACCGGAAAGUAAUGGAAAGAGGAGAAUACAUAGGCAAAGAAUGUAAUUAAUUGGCUUUUAUUUAUUUAUUUAUUUUAUGAAUUACUCUGUAAAGACUUUAAAAAUCAUGUAGAAAUUUUUCUUUUUCUUCCAAUUUCAUUAAAUCUCUUUAUAUUAUCAUACUAUUAUUAUGAUUUCACAAUUAGAGUCCAUAUGAAAUUAUUUUUGAGAGAUUUAAAGGUGAUUUUAAAAAGUUAAAAGUUAAUUUUAGCAUUUGAUAAAUUUUUUUAAAAAUCAUUUUCGACAAAAUCACCUUGUCCUAUGACCAAAGAGUAGCUUUUCAAAAUCUGAUUUUAAAAAUUAGUUUUAUACUUAAACAAUUUCGUAUAUAUCCUAAUAUAUGUUAUAAAAAUCCAAAAUUAUCUUUUAUUCAAUUAGGAAAUAAAAUCAUUACAUUUAAAGAAAUUAUUAUUAUAUUGAGAUAACAAAAUCAAUAUGGUUAAUUUGUUUUAGGUACGAAUUAUUCUAUAUGCACAUAAAAUAUUACUAUAUACACGUUAUUAUAAAAUAAAUGCAUGGGUAAAUAAAUUUUAUAACUUUAUGUCUAAUUAAGUCAUUUCUAUUCAUACAGUAAUUUAAAAACGAGACUUACCAAAUAUAAAUUACUACUUAACUAAUUUACAAAACGCCUUUAAAAAUAAAAUUUACCAAGCUUUGACUAAUUUUUUUUACAAUUUUUUAACAACUAAUUAUUUCUAUAUCACAACUAAUAACAAUUAUUUUAAAAACUAUAACAUUACCAUUCUAGUCAUAAAUCUAAAAAACGUUUGUAUGUAAUUGUUUACGAAACCUAUUAGUUAAUCACCAUGUGGCUGAUCGAACAUCAAUUAAUACAUAAAUCAUUGAGAUGACAGGCACGUCAAACAUAUAGUAAAAUCACUCAAAUUUGGUUCUGAAAUGCCGUAAGAGUACUAAAUAAAAUAACAAAGGAGGAUGAAAACACAGAGUCGCACCGGCUCUGUAUGCUUACAGCUUUGCUAAAAGUGCAUUUUGGCAAUGGCGUAAAGCAACCAGUUUUAUUUAGUCGAAAUUUUAUCUCCGAAUAUAGAAAUUCAACUGUCUCAAGAAGUCGAUUAUAUUUUCAGAAAUCUCUCAUGGCUCGCUCAGUUCCAGAAUCUGCAAAUAUAUCAACUUAUUAUUUAAAUCCAGACAGUUUGCAAAGAUCCAAAGUUCAUUUAUUCACAAAACUUAAAUUUCCUUUUAUAUGCCUAUUAUUAUUCACCUGUUUAUAUUGAUCACCAACUUACAAUCAAAAUCAAAUCAUUCAACCUCCCAAAUGAUACAUCAUCCAUAAGAAUUCAAGCCUCGGUACCAUGUAGGUCAAGGAAUAUUGCGCCAUAGCACAAAUUAUCAGGCACCGGAAUGAGUAACUGCUGUGCUGUUCAUAUAACCAGCCCUGUCAUGGGUUUAUGGUGAAUAAGUAUGUAAAACAACCCAAGUUUUUGGCCAUUCAUGAAU